UAUCUUAAUAAUAAAACUCUAGCAUGGAUAUGAUGAAUAGUUGCUCUGCCUAAUUUGCAAUUUUGAAGUUCUCUCUCAAGUUUAGACAUAACUGUUAUAAUUUAAAUCUUGCUCUAGACCUAAACUUGUGGGAUGAAAACUUGAUCUGAAGUCUAAGUUGUUAAUGGAUACGAUAUGGGGAGGUUGAGCUGCUGUUUAUCUAUUCCUAGAGAUGCUAGAAUUCUGGAGAAUUUUAUCUUUGAAAAAUCUUUAAAAUAUUGCAUGAUGAGUUCCUGUAUGAUGAGAUUUUAAAUUCCUACCACAGUCAUAUAUACAUGCUUGCUAGACUUUGAGCCACACAUUUACUAUUUACUGCUUAUGAGCAUUGAGUGUGGUCAAGCUGUGUAGACCCUUAGGAGCUUGUCAUGUGGUUAAAUCAAGAUUCACUUGCACGUUCACUCAUAUAUGCUACUUCUACUCCGGAAGUACCAUCCACAUAUAUCCAUCCAUUUCCAUCUCCAGAAUCACCCAAAAAUAUUCUACUCCUAAUCCGGGAGAGAAUAGUCAAAAACAUUUUUCUAUCCCUGUUAUUCCCUGUGAAAUAAAUAUUCCAAAUAUUUUGGUUACUACCACUUGCUAUAUUAUCUCAAGAGAUGAGUGCUCUGGAAAAAAAGAAAGAAAAGAGAAGAAAAAAAUAUAUAUAUAAACGAGGAAAUAAAAAGGGGCAAGUGCCCGGAACCUCGAAAGAAAGAAAAAGUGAGACGAGAGGUAAAAAUGGAUAAAUGUCCGACAGUAGAAUUAGGGGUACAAGAUACCCACCUGAGAGGAAAGAAAAAGAAGAGCAUCUCAUUCUCCUCAUAAAGUUUCAAAAAGCAAGGAAGGUAUGUAUUCCCUCAAAAGAGCAAAAGUAGAAUUAGACUUUCACCAUUGUUAUUACCAUCAUCACCAUACACCAUUCAUUCGCCACACAUGCACAUCUUGAUUUGGCUUAUUGAUUUGUUUCUUUGGAUCCAUGGUUUGACUAUAUAAUAAAUGUCUUGUAAGUAUGUAUACUUUAUCUCCCACCUAUGAGCUCCAGAUAUUAAAGCCUUAUUAGAGUAGGGUGAGAGAGAAGGCAACGUCACUAUGCCUUAUACCACAAAUACCACAUAUCUUGAGAGAAGGCAUAUACCAUCAAUGCCUUGGUAAGGAUCCAGAAAUACCACAAAAGAGAGAUCUAGAGAGUCAUACAAGGAAUCUCUGAGUUUUAUUUGAAAAUCUGCAAAAACCCCAGAGCUAUAGCUGAUCAAGAAUAAGAGACAUGGCACUUGGCUAGACUGUUCUAUCUUUUAACUACUCAAGACAGAAGUGACGGUUACAAGUCCCAUGGUGAGAGGUAAAGUAAGUAAGUUUUAGUUCAUGACAGUUUACUCUAACUCAGAGAUGAGAUCUUAUUUAAAAGCAUGUGUACCGUUAAAUUUUUAAGAUAUUGCAUCAACUUCUAAUCCAUAGCUGAGUCUAUCCUUGCUCAGGGAUGAGCAAGAGGUAAGCUUGGGGGAGUUUGUUGAUGGCCCUUAAGUAUCAAAUUUAAUUAUCAAAUAAACAAAGAAAAGGAUCCAAAUGAAAUCAACAUCUAGACUUAGGGUUUUAUCUGACAGAAUUCCACGAGUUUUGGUGUUUGUCUAUUUCUGCAGGGGGUUAUCAGGAAAUAAGGAAGAAAGGCCCACAUGUCAGGAUUACAUAGAGAUAUCAACGCACCGCGCAAUUUUCUACCAUCUAGAAGACUCCACAAGCCACGGGAAGGAAGCGGAGGCCGAAAGGGGCCAGGCCCAGGGCGCCCGCCCUGAGGACCUGGGCGCCCGCCCCCUGUUGGAUGCCAAUCAGGAUUCUCUUCGCUCGGGAUAUUCCACCGACCUAUUGGAUCAAGAAAAACAUAGUACCACCUCGCCUGUCGACCCAAAAACGCAUAGAAGGGGAGGACUAUAUAAGGAGACCCCCCUGGCCCCUGGAGAAGACAUGAAGAAAUUAUCAUAGAGACUGUGGGGUGCCCUCGAAGGAAAACCUCUUCUCUAAUUAAUAUUUCUUUUUAGGCUUAGCAACCAAUGUAAAGUAGAAAUAGAUCUUCUAGUUUCUACUAGAUUGAGAGAGAUAGAGUGGAGGUGUAGAUUGGAGGAAGCCCGGCCUGUCGGUGUCUACUCCAAGCUUGUACCUGCGGGAUCAAGUUCUCCUAACCCGAAGCUUGCUCCUAGGACUCUUCAGUAAUUCGACUUCUAAAUUCUAGUAAGUUCUUGUUUUAUUGUUCUUAUGGUUUAUGAGUUUACUUUAAUCUCUUCGCGUAGAGUUUAGAGUAAUCAUUACUGGCGUAAAUGUGAUGUUUAGGCUGGGGUACUCAUAGAUAUUCCCUGACUAGCUAGACCGUGGUAGUAGUGAGGAACGUGACAAUUCCGAGUUACCUUUGUAGAUCACAUCUCGUUAGCAGGAAGGAUAGGGUUUAUAGGUGUGGGUUGAACAUCCUUUGUGGUGUCUAGAUUCCGUUAGCCUCCCCAUUAGAACAGUAGAUCAUCCUCACCAAGGUUAGAAGGAGACUACGGUUGCAGUCUUCUCUAUUUAUCACUCACAUCGAAAGACAUUCUUUGUGCCUAAAGGGAUAGUAGCAAUAGAUUUGGUUAGUCAGAUGCACCCUUUCUCCCAGUGGUAAAAAUAUAAAUACGAUACUCUGGAAAACCUCCCGGGUGAAAUGCUCACCGAUAUCCGUGCGCUUGCGGAUCAUUUCCUUAUUGCGUUACCAAAUAUCAACAGACCCUCUAAUUUGGCACAGAAGAAUGGUUGAAGGAGUGAUGAUUCGAGCUACCUCAAAAGACAGCUCUGCUUCUGUUAGCCAUUCAUAACUCAGAAUAGCCGAAAGGCUUUUGAUGUGUUCUAUGUCAACAGAUUCUACUCUUAGAAUGGAUUGAGUGGUCCUUGCUAGAGGUCGUGUUUGGAUAGGAAAAUUCGAGGUGUUUCCAUAAUCUUCAAAAAGAUCUUCCUCGAAUUCAAAGGGAUGCUCUAAAGGUGGUGGUUCAUCAUCCCUUAGUUGGUUUUGCAUUCCUUUAUCAGGAGGUUUCUCUACAACCAAAUUAAUGGAUGGGUCAGGUGGAAUUUCUAACUCGGUUGCAAGUUCCUCAUCUUUUGGUUUAGGAUCAGGCUCGACUUCUUUUUCUCCUUCAGGAAACUCAUCAUAAAUGCCUGUGUAAGGGGUAUUUUCAAGAAUUCUUUCUAGGAUAGCUCUCCCCUCAUCUGUGAGUUUGUGUGUGAAUGAGCCUCCUGAAGCAAUGUCGAGGUGAAGAGCAGCCUCCUUGCUUAGACCACGAUAAAAGUGGUAGUACAGUACAUGGUCAGGCAAGGAAAGGUUUGGACCGAAAUUGGUAAGGCUUGUGAACCUAGCCCAAGCUGCUCCUAAAGUUUCAUUCUCUCUUUGUUUGAAUGUAAGAAUUUCGAUUCUAAGGUCAGCGAUUUGAAAGAGUGGGAAGAAAGCGAGACAAAAGUUGUCCCGAAGUUCAUCCCAAUUUCCAUUAACGCCUCCUACAGAAUGAGCAUACCACUUUUUUUGCUCUUCCCAAAAGGGAGAACGGAAAUAAUUUCCAUUUAAGGGUUUCUUGUGUCAUGCCGAAAUAGAUCGGCAAGAGCACAACUGCUCGAAUUCUCUAAGGUGGGUGUAUGGAUCUUCAUCUACUUGCCCAGAGAAGGGUUGCUCCUGAAUCAUGGCUAUUAGAUCAGGGCCGAGGUCGUAGCCAUCUAUAAGAAUUGGAUGUGAUGAUGGUGGUGGCUCUAAUAACUCGCCCUUUGGAGCAAAGAAUUUAUAGAUAGGAGUGAAAUCCAUGUGGUGUGGUGAAAAUGGUAAGGUGAGUGUGGUAAAAGAGAAAAGAAAAAGGAUACACGGACGACUUGGUUCGAAACUAGCACAGCUACCAUUCCCCGGCAACGGCGCCAGAAAGCUUGUUGGGUAUUUUAAACGCAAACAGAAAAAUCCGCAAGCGCACGGAUACCGAUGUAGCCUUCACCCGGGAGUAUUCCAGAGUAUCGAUUUUCCACAGCGAACGUGAGUGUACUAAUUAAGAAUCAAGAUCGCCCAAGGAUAACUAUAUAAUUAUUUUUGGUGGGAAGAGAGGAAGUUUCCUGAGAGUUCUCUAGUUGAUCUAAGAAUCAAGAAUUACUUCAAGAUUAUCUAUUUCGGGACAUCAGAACACUAACCACAGAAAGAGAUGAGAAGGGGGCUAGGAAGCUCCGACUACGGUCCUACAAACACCGAUCCGAACGUGGUGGAAUACGUCGACCGUUAGGGCUGUCACUACCCUAAGGCUACCACAACAAUCCGCAGGAUUGGGUGCAAUUCCAGGUAAUUGCAAGACUAAACACCAUGUCUAAUCUAUUAAUUACUACUCUAAUGUUGCAAAGAUUAGAGCACUUGAUGCAAGCAGGAAUCCAAUAAAUAACUUGAAUGUAAAUAAAGGUAAUUAAAGAACUCAGGAAUUAUGAAUUGAAGAACCUGGAGAACGAUGAAGAACAAACCAAUUGUUGCAAAAGUACAAUGUUGAGGAAGAUCCGACAGAUCCGGAUCCUCCUCCGCUCUCCUCUUCUCUCUCCCUAUUUUCUAGAUUACAACUAGAACUAACUAGAACUAGAACUAGAGGAACUAGAACUAGAACUAGAUGAACUAGAACUAGAUCUAGAUGAACUAGAGGUAGAACUAGAAGAACUAGAGAGAUCCUCUCUACUUGGAUGAAGAAUUGAAACCCUAGCUUUGAUUCUGUAGAAGAGGUAUGCCUCCAGGGGCUGGUGGGGGUCUGCUUAUAUAGUCUAGGAAGAGUAGCCCUCAAGAAAUCUAGGAAGAGUAGCUCCCAAGAAAUCUAGGAAGAGUAGCUCCCAAGGAAUUUCCAUGUUAUUCUCCACCAUCCGAUCAAACCGACCUUAAUCGUGUGAUUUUCGUCGAUCCUUAGAGUCGGUGGAGCACGAUCCGCGAAGUUGACCCUGAUUGGGCACUGUAGCAGGGCGGGCGCCCAGGAGAGUAGGGCGGGCACCCUGCCCCCGGGCCCGUUCGGCCUCCCGUUCGUUCCCGUAGCUUCUGGAGUCUUCUAGAUGAUAGAAAAUUGCGCGGCACGUUGAUAUCUCUAUGUAAACCCGACGUGUGGGUCUUUCUUUCAUAUUUCCUGAUAACCCCCUGCAGAAAUAGACAAACACCAAAACUCGUGGAAUUCUGUCAGAUAAAACCCUAAGUCUAGGUGUUGGUUGUAUUUGGAUCCUUUUCUUUAUUUAUUUGAUGAUUCUAUUUGGUACUUAAGGACCGUCAACAACUCCCCCAAGCUUACCUCUUGCUCGUCCCUGAGCAAGGAUGGACUCAAGAGUUUCUGCAGUGGUUUCAUGCCUUAAAAGUACACAUGCGUUCAAGCAAGAUCUCAUCUCUGAGUUAGAGUAAACUGUUAAGACUUAAAACUUAUUCAUUUUACCUUUCACCAUGGGGCUUGCAACCGUCACUUGUGUCUUGAGCAGUUAAAAGAUAGAAUAGUCAAGUCAAGCGCCAUGUCUCUUGUUCUUUGAUUAACUAUAACUCUAGAGUUUUUGCAGAUUUUCAAAUAAAACUCAAAGAUUCCUUGUAUGACUCUCUCAAAUAUCUCUUUUGUGGUAUUUUCUGGAUCCUUUCUAAGGCAGUAAUGGUAUAUGCCUUCUCUCAAAGUAUGUGGUAUUUUUGGUAUGAGGCAUAGUGAUAUUGCCUUCUCUCUCACCCUACUCUAAUAAGGUUUUGAUAUUUGGAGCUCAUAGGUGGGAGACAGAUAAUACAUACUUACAAGACAUUUAUUGCAUAGUCAAACCAUGGAUCUAGAAGAACAAGUCAAUAAUUCAAAUCAAGAUGUGCAUGUGUGGCGAAUGAAUGGUGUAUGGUGAUAACAAUGGUGAAAGUCUAAUUCUACUUUUGCUCUUUUAAGGGGAUACAUACCUUUCUUGCAUUUUGAAGCUUUUUGAGGAGAAUGAGAUGCUCUAUAUUUUUUUCUCUGAGGUGGGUAUCUUGUACCCCUAAUUCUACUGUCGAACACUUGUACAUUUUUACCUCUCGUCUCACUUUUUCUUUUCUUUGAGGUUCUGGGCACUUGCCCCUUUUUAUUUCCUCGUAUUGUUUUUUCCUUUUCUCCUUUUUUUAGAGCACUCACCCUCCUAGAAUAAUGUAGCAAGUGGUAGUAACCAAAAUAUCUCGAGCAUUUAUUUCACAAGGAAUAACAGGGAUAGGAAACAGUUUUUAGCUAUUCUCUCCCGGAUAAGAGUGGAAUAAUUUUAGGUGAAUCUGGAGGUGGAAUUGAGUGGAUGUAUGUGGAUGCGUACUUCCAGAGUAGAAGUAGCAUGUAUGAGUGAACGUGCAAGUGAAUCUUGAUUUUAACCGCAUGACAAGCUCCUAAGGGUCUACAAAGUUUGACCACACUCAAUGCUCAUAAGUAGUGAAAAGUAAAUAUAUGGUUCAUAGUCUAAUAAGCAUGUAUAUAUGGCUGUGGUAGGAUUUUAAACUUUCAUCAUACAAGAACUCAUCAUGCAACAUUUUAAAGAUUUUCAAAGAUAAAAUUCUCUAGAAUUCUAGCAUCUCUAGGAACAGAUAAACAGCAGCUCAACCUUUCCAUAUCAUAUCCGUUAACGACUUAGGCUUUAGAUCAAGUACUCUUGCCACAAGUUCUGGUUUAGAGCAAAUUUUAAUUCAUAACAGUCAUGCCUAAACUUGAGAGAGAUUUCAAUUUUGAGAACUAGUCAUGGCAGAGCAACUAUUUAUCAUUUUUAUGUGAGAGCUUAUCAUGAGGGUUCAGUUUGGCGUAGACACAGAAUUUUAAGCAAAGAUAUAUAUGCACAGAAUUUUUAUUUGGGUUUUCAUGAUUAUGCAUCUUUUUGUUAUUUGUGUAAAGUAUAAACGCGAGUAGAAACACUUAGCUGGAUAAAUGGGGGUGCUCUCACCCAAGCUGGAUUUUGACGUAAUUUCUUCUGAUGUAGCUAGGAGGUGGCGGAGGUGUAUUUGAAUGUCGACAGCACCCAGACAGCGAUUAGGAUGUCCUCUGUCUGCUAGUCUUCUUUGAUCCUUGAAUUCUGUGGAGGUCAAAUAGACAACAAAGCUUUGUAGAACUGGUUAAGUGUUAGCAAAAAUAUCUUGCCUUUAUCAUGUUGAGCCUCCCCAAUAAAUGUUACUCUCUUUGGUAGGAUCACAAUCUUAUUUUUAUAUUUCAUUUUUAUAGAGCAGAAAAAAUAUUUAUUUUAUUUUUAUGCCACCACAGUGAAUGUACUUAUGGAUUUUAUGCCAUUCGUAUAUUCACAUGGGGCUUACUAUUUUUAGCAUUUUUAUUUUCUUUUCAAGAUAGUAUGAACCCGAUUAACUAAACAAGCUAUUUAAGGAAAAUAAAUAAUUUGAAGGGAAAAGGAUAACUACCAAGUUUACCUCUUGGCACGGCGUUUAGUGUUUUUAAGUCCUCCGAACGGGACUCCUUGUGUUUUCAGUCGUCCUAGGAUUCCGGCGGCGCCUCCUCUUCUAGUACAACUCUCUUCUCUAUCCAUACCUAAUUUGGUGCUACGGUCUCCUCUCGACAAUCCUGUUCAAGAUGUAUAUCUUUGGACCUUAUUACAUCUCCUUUGUAGUCUGCCCAUCUGUCCUUGAUGAUUUGCCUCCUCUGGUUUUGGUUGCGUCGCCUUCUUCUCAUCCUGGUCUGCUUAGAAUCUUCAACUAUAUAGUUAGAAUCAUUAAAGUAGUAGCAUACCUUCUCAGAGGGAAAGUGCAUGUGGACUUCUUCGGUUCCAAUAUAGAUGAUAACUUUGAUAGUGUUGAGGAACGGUCUUCCAAGGAUGAUGGGUGGAUCGUACUCAUCUUCUCCCAUGUCAAUGACAUGAAAAUCAUCUGGAGCUGAAUGUAUGUUGGUUGUAGGGGCAUGGUUCCAUGCAGGAGCUGAUAAGUGAUUGCGGCCAUUAUGUUGACCUCAGAUCCGGUGUCGUAGAGUGUCUUCUGAAAAGAGUAUCUGUUGAUUGUGCACUCGAUGCUUGGAACACCAGGGUCGUCCUUCUUAAUCAGGAAGGGCGACUUGAGUCGACGAUCUUGACCUCUUCCGGCAAGGAUCCAAUGUUCUAAGUCUUCUGGACAAGACUUCUCACCGUGUUCAUCCUUUGGGUGCAUCAUUUGAUUAGGUGUGGGCCUUGACAUCUGCACCUCUUGAUACAAUGUCACCCAUGUUCUUCGUUUGUCCAGCAGUUCGAGAUGUGGCAUUGGUAGCAUCCUACUUAGUGUGUUUGUGCUCGUAGAUCCAAGUCCUUCACUUGGUGGAAUCUAGGAGUUGUAAAACUCCUUCAGGUUUUGCUCGAAGUGUACCUGCUCAUAGAGACAAGGCAGAGAUCAAGUGCAUGGGUCCUGUUGGUGGAAAACACCAACAGAACCAAAAGUAUGUUUAUUCUUCUCUAUCCUUAAGCAUAGGGAGCAAAACAAAGUUGAUGGGUGAUAAGUUCAUGAGUGUAGCAUUUAAAACAUUUGUCAGAUCAGAUCGCUCAACCUUAUGGAAAGAUAAUCUAUCUAUGUAUAUGUCUUUUUCUUUAUAUCUUCCCAAAGAUUGAAUGUGCAACAUUUUAGCUCAUAUGAUUAGGAGUGUAGGAUCAUGGAGGUAGUACUAUAAACAAAGAUUAGAAGACUAAACAUGCUGACUUAAUUGGGUUGGUUAAUUUGGAGUUACAAAUCAUACAUGUUUGUCUCUUUAUUUAUGUGAACGCCGGAACCAAGGAGAAGCUUAUAAAAGCGAUAGUCAAGUACCUUAAGAUGUUACCUUAAUUGAAGAGUGAUAGUACCAUCUCACCUUGUGGAAGCUUUCCUUUCUUAGCGGUUGUGCAUCGUGUUUGUGGCACUCUUUGUCUCGUUCCUUGGAUCAUCUCUCUAUGAUGAAUGAGCUAUGUCUUCCUUGUGCAAAUGUGUCUCCUUUGUCUCUAGUGUGAGUUUGUAUCUUAGGACUCUCCAGGUUGAUAUUGAAAGUUUUUCUGCAGGGGUUAGUCCGACAAAAUAUACCAAUGCCUACUCAAGCAGUUUUUAGUUCAGUAACCAAACUAGACUCCAUGUCUAAUCAGAUUAAGGAAGGCUAUUUAACCUAAGCACCACGCUUAAUUUAAAUGCCAAUGGAAGUAUGUCCAGUACUUCUGAACCAACACUUACUAGGAUAAACAAAGGUAGCAUGAUGGCUUUUAUAGAGAUCUACUCAAGUGGAGAUGAAGUAGUGUGACUAGUAUUUAACAAAUCAAGCAUGUCUCAAAGGUAGGGACAACCAACAUAGCAACUUGGCAAAGGAUGUUUUCAUGUGAAGUACUCCCCCAAGCUUGAAUUUUGCAAAAUUCAAGUUUGGAUGAAUUUAAUUCAAUGUUGCAUGAUGAUUGGUUGGGCAUACCUUGCGCUUGUCAUUCCUCGGAUCUUCUUGCUUCAAUCCUAGAAAGGUUAGUGACAAGAAUACCCGAAGGAAUAUUUCUACAAUUAUCUUUAUAUGCUCAAUACACAAGGCAAUGUUGCAAAUAAUUAGAAGUUCAUGUUAUGAUCUGAUAAGUGCUUGUUUUAGGACACUAAGCUUGUCCUUGGGAAACCAUCAAUUUAUGUCGGUGAAGUGGUUUCCCCUCCAACGCUGACCUACAUCAAGAUCAACUCAACGAGAUCUGCAAUAUUUAUUAUAGACAUAUGCAUCGACAACCGCCCUUUUAAAGUUUUUAUAAAAAAAGGAAGAGGGGGUUGGAGAUCUCAAAUGUGGUGAUGUUGGAGAGACCAAAAGAUUGGGAAGAUGUUGCAUAUGAGCAUGGAGUAAACGAAGUGGCUAUGAAAUAAAUUCCAUGCUCAUUAAUGUUAUCUUUGUCUCCAAUCUGAAUGUUCGGAGUUUCUCCUAGAUUGGUCUCGCCUAUGUCCUCUUCUGUAGUUGGAUGAACCUCAUCUUCAAAGGGAGUCAAGAACUCACUAUUUGAAAUUGAGCCAAAGUCAGAAUCCAUUAAGGCUUCUUCCUUGUCCAUCCAUUUAAUGGUGAUAGCACAUGGAUUUUUAAUGCCCUCUAGCCAUUGAUGUUGCUCUUCUCGAUCCUCCUUGUGGUCUUGGUGACUCUUAUGCAUGGGAUGUCUAGAGAGAUUCGUAGGAUCAUCGGGAGGUUCAAGAGAAUGAGCAUAGUAGAAAUUAAUAAGCUCAAGGAUGGGUUGGAUAGCCGAAUUAUGGGAUUAAAAUGUUUGGAAAUCAGCUAUUGAAACUUCCUUUCCUUGUCUAGGAGAUGAUUCCUUCUCUAUCUCUAGGAAUUUUUUAUGAAGACUAGUGCAAGAAGGAUGUCCACGAAUGAAGACAUACCUUGCUUUACUAACAGAUAAAGAAAGAAAAACUCUACCAAAUGUUAUAUGAUUAAGACCAAUGUGAAAAUAUCAAGGAAAAACAUGGUCUUAUAGGGCUAGGUUUAAACCAAAAUUUAUGGAAAGAUUAAAAGAUUCCCUAGGUGUAGCUAAAAGUUCAUUAUCUUCUUGAUUAAAAGAUAGGACCUCAGCUAUAGAAAAGGGUUGGUUUUGACCUAUUGCAAUCAACUCCGGACACAGAUCAUAAUUAGGGACAAAGAAAGGACUUGUUGACUCCCAUGGUCUAUGGCUGGUCUCCGAAGGUGCAAAGAAUUCAAUAAUAGGUAUACAAGAUAAUACAAGAUAAUAGCAAGACUUAAAGUUAUCUCAGCAAACCGUCUUUCUCCUCGGCAACGGCGCUAGAAAUGCUUGUUGAUAUUUGGUAAUGCCAUCAGGAAAUGAUCCGCAAGCGCACGGAUAUCGGUGAGCACUUCACCCGGGAGGUUAUCCAGAGUAUCGUAUUUAUAUUUUUACCACUGGGAGAAAGCGUGCAUCUGACUAACCAAAUCUAUUGCUACUACCUCUUUAGGCUACAAAGAAUGUUUCUCGAUGUGAGCAAUGUAUAGAGAAGACUACAACCGUAGUCUCGUUCUAACCUUGGUAAGGAUGAUCUACUGUUCUAUUGGGGAAGCUCACGGAAUCUAGACACCACUGUUCUACCCGCACCUAUAAACCCUACCCGUCCUGCUAACGAGAUGUGGGCUGCAAAGAUAACUCGGAAAAUGUCACGUUCCUCGCUACUACCAUGGUCCAGCUAGUCAGGGGAUAUCUAUGAGUACCCUAGCCCAAACACCACGUUUACGCUAGCAAUGAUUACUCUAAACUCAACCGGAAGAGAUUAAAGUAAACUCAUAAACCAAAGAACAAUAAGAACAAGAACUUACUAGAAUUGAGAAGUCGAAUUACUGAAGAAUCCUAGGAGCAAGCCUCGGGUUAGGAGAACUUGAUCCCGCAGGUACAACCUCGGAGUAGACACUGACAGGCCGGGCUUCCUCCGAUCUACACCCCUACUCUAUCUCUCUCAAUCUAGUAGAUCUAGUCUACUCUCACAUUGGAUGCUAAGCUCUAAGUCUAUUUAGAGGAAAGGUUAUCCUUCGAGGGCAAACUCUAUGAUGAACUUGUUCUCCUCCAGGGGCCAGGGGCCUUGCUUAUAUAGUCCUCCUCCUUUGUGCCUUUUUGGUUCAGCAGACGAUGUGGUACUAAACUUUACACCAUAUAUCAUUAAAAUGCACAUAGACCUUAAUGGACCAAAAUCUGAUUUGGGCCCAAUUAAUCCCGCAGCUCUUUUAUGUGGAGUCCUUCUUUUAUUAAUAUCUCUUGAUUCCGAACUCCAAAUAUAGCAAAUAAUAUAUGCAUCUCGAUCAGCUUGAUGAGAUCUUUGUAAUGGUGUACUCCAUUCUGUGAUUGGUGCUUGUACCAGGGCGGGCGCCAAGGGGGGAGGGCGGGCGCCCUGCCCCCAGGCCUGUUCGGCCUCCCGUUCGUUCCUGUGGCUUCUGGAGUCUUCUAGAUGAUAGAAAAUUACGCGGCAUGUUAAUAUCUCUAUGUAAACCCGACGUGUGGGCCUUUCCUUCAUAUUUCCUGAUAACCCCCUGCAGAAAUAGACAGACACCAAAACUCAUGGAAUUUUAUCAGAUAAAACCGUAAGUCUGGGUGUUGGUUGCAUUUGGAUCUUUUUUUAUUUAUUUGAUGAUUAUAUUUGGUACUUAAGGACCGUCAACAUGCGGGUGCCCUGUCCCCGGGCCCGCUCGGUCUCCCACUCGUUCCCGUGGCUUCUGAACUCUUCUAGCUUAGGAAAAAUUGCGCGGCACGUAAUUAUCUCUAUGUAAACCCGACGUGUGGGCCUUUCCUCCAUAUUUCCUGAUAACCCCCUACAGAAAUAGACAAACACUAAAACUCGUGGAAUUCUGUCAGAUAAAACCCUAAGUCUGGGUGUCGGUUGCAUUUGGGUCCUUUUCUCUAUUUAUUUGUUGAUUAUAUUUAAUAUUAAGGACCGUCAACAGCAGGCUCUCUUGAGGAGUUUCCUUUCCCUCUUUGAUUCAGUCGAAACCUUCCCUCCUAAGAUGGAGUGGACUACGUCGGUUGGGUUGAUGUAUUGGUGCCGCGAAUCUCAGUCCUGGUCUUCGUCCUCGUUGUCUUGGUCGCGCCUGUUGUGUUUCCCGGCAGUCUUGGUGGCGUCUCCUUGAGCAUCCCGCUGCGUGCAGUGGCGGAGGCAACAAUAUGGCUUGGUUUGGCAGCCGCCAUACCUAAAUGAUAUUAAAAAAAAUCAAGUAUAUGUAGUAUAUAUAUGUGUAUACAGUAUACGUGACUAGUGAGUACGUACAUGACCAUGGCUGUUGGCCAAAAGCAUCUAGCUGCACUUCUAUCCUGGGCUCCUGGCCUAUUCCCUCCGCUUCCACUUGAUGGGCCAUAAGCACAGUCUGCAGUCGCCCAGAAGAUCAGAACGGAGCCACGAAGGGAAUAACCAAUUUGGAUCGAUAUUCCGUCUCUUGCUCUUUCGGUCUUCCCAUUCUAAAUCUAAAUCCAUAAAGUGUGGACUGUGGCCGGCGGCGGCGGACGGAAGACAAUGGCACGAGCACGACGGCACAACAAGACGCCGCCACCGGACAGACGACGGCACUGGACGGACGGACGGCGAUCACUUGCAAAAUUGCAAUCUGCAAGACUGCAAGUGCAACAUCAACAUGGCACCAAAGAAGAAGAGUAGAUAUGUGAUGAAAGGUAUUUUUUUAAAUUUAACAAGCAUGUAGAUCGAUCAGUACUAAUAUUGAUACACACGGCAUGUAGCCAGUAGCCUGUAGGUUUAAUAAUCAAUAGUUUAUUUAUUAAUUUAUUGUUUGCCUUUUUUGUCUUGUGAUUUUGCAUAUAGAUUUAAAGACUAUUUUUGCCAAAGCAUUUAGCAUUAGCAGCUCCAACCCAGCAGUAGAUGACGUUACUGCUGGACAACAAGAAAACGAAGAGGAUGUUGGCAUUGAGCUGGUUCCAGUGGGUGUUCAAGAGGCAGAGAAUGAAGAGGACAUUCAUGUUGACGAUCAAGCCAGCGUUGAUGAUCACGAUGCUGCUGAUCAUCAGGCCACUGUUGAUGAUCCGAUAGCUAGCCAAAGGGAAGGGGAUGGGCUCAUUGAAGUGAUGAACUCAGACCACAUUGAGCCUGAUCUAGGGCUUCGGAUUCCAAUUGAUGAUUUUCAUCCCAACAUCAGAGAUGAAGUUAGAUUGGCUUAUGUGGCAAAGGGUCCUACUCAACCAAUUGGUCAAGAUUAUCUUCAUGACCAUUUUGAUAGAAAAUUUUGUGAAACAUGGUACGCAAAACAUCCUUGGCGGGAAUAUAGUGUGGAGAAAGAUGCAGCUUAUUGCUUCUGUUGCUUUCUUUUUUAGGCAAGAUCCUGUGGAUGACAAAUUUGGUCAUACUACCUUCACUAAAGAGGGGUAUAAUACAUGGAAGAAUGCAUACAAAGGACUUCCUCUUCAUGUUGGCGGUGCUCGGAGUAUCCACUAUCAAGCAAGGAUAGCAUAUGAAGAUUUCAAAAAUCAAAGGUCAAGUCUAAAACAUAAGGUUACAACCUAUAGCAAAGAAUCACUAGUGAAGUAUGAAACCUGUUUCGACACAUCUUUGGGAAUUAUUAGUUAUCUUGCACUCCAAGGUGAGCCAUUUCAUGGACAUGAUGAACCUGUUUGUUCCAUGAAUAAGGGUAAUUUUCUAGAGAUGCUUGAUUGGUACAAAGAAAGGAAGUCGUCGCGGUUGUCGCGGCUCCUAUCUGUUGGGUAUUUUAAACGCAAACAGAAAAAUCCGCAAGCACACGGAUACCGAUGUAGCUUUCACCUGUGAGUAUUCCAGAGUAUCGAUUUUCCACAGGGAACGUGAGUGUACUAAUUAAGAUUCAAGAUCGCCCAAGGAUAACUAUAUAAUUAUUUUUGGUGGGAAGAGAGGAAGUUUCCUGAGAGUUCUCUAGUUGAUCUAAGAAUCAAGAAUUACUUCAAAGAUUAUUUAUUUCGGGACAUCAGAACACUAACCACAGAAAGAGAUGAGAAGGGGCUAGGAAGGUCUGACUACGGUCCUACAAACACCGAUCCGAAUGAGGUGGAAUACGUCGACCGUUAGGGCUGUCACUACCUUAGGGCUACCACAACAAUCCGCAGGAUUGGGUGCAAUUCCAGGUAAUUGCAAGACUAAACACCACGUCUAAUCUAUUAAUUACUACUCUAGCGUUAUAAAGACUAGAGCACUUGAUGCAAGCGGAAAUCCAAUAAAUAACUUGAAUGUAAAUAAAAGUAAUUAAAGAACUCAGGAAUUUCGAAUUGAAGAACCUGGAGAAUGUUGAUAUUUGGGAACGCAAUAAGGAAUGGAUCCGCAAGCGCACGGAUAUCGGUGAGCACAUCACCCGGGAGGUUAUCCAGAGUAUCGUAUUUAUUUUUUUACCACUAGGAGAAAGAGUGCAUCUGACUAACCCGGUCUAUUACUACUAACCUUUAGGCUACAAAGAAUGUUUCUCAAUGUGAGUGAUAAAUAGAGAAGACUGCAACCGUAGUCUCUUUCUAACAUUGGUAAGGAUGAUCUACUGUUCUAAUGGGGAAGCUUACGGAAUCUAGACACCACAGAGGAUGUUCAACCCUCACCUAUAAACCCUAUCCUUCCUGCUAACGAGAUAUGGUUUUCAAAGGUAACUCGAAAAUGUCACGUUCCUCGCUACUGCCACGGUCCAGCUAGUCAGGGAAUUUCUUUGAGUAUUCUAGCCCAAACACCACGUCUACGCUAGAGAUAAUUACUCUAAACUCUACGCGAAGAGAUUGUUGACGGUCCUUAAUGCUCACAUUUAACCAUCAACUAAUCAUGGAAAUGAUCCAAAUGCAACCAACACCCAGACUUAGGGUUUUAUCUGACAGAAUUCCACGAGUUUUGGUGUUUGUCUAUUUCUGCAGGGGGUUAUCAGGAAAUACGGAGGAAAGGCCCACACGUCGGGUUUACAUAGAGAUAUUAACGUGCCGCGUAAUUAUUUUACAUCUAGAAGACUCGAGAAGCCACGGGAAGGAAGCGGAGGCCGAACGGAGCCAGGCACUGGGUGCCUGCCCAGUUGACCUGGGCGCCCGCCCUCACAUAGAGUCCAAUCAGGACUCUCUUUCGGGAUAUUGCUCCACCGACCUAAAGGAUCAAGGAUAACCGUUCAAUCAAUGUCGGUUUGAUCCAACGGCCCAGAUUCAUCUGAAAAGACUAUAUGAGCAAGGCCCCUCGCCGCUGGAGAUCAUACCUCUUCUACAGAAUCAAAGCUAGGGUUUCAACAUUGUAGUUGUAAUCUAGAAUGCGUUGAUAUCUCUAUGUAAUCCCGACAUGUGGGCCUUUCUUGCUUAUUUCCUGAUAACCCCCUGCAGAAACAGAUAAACAAUAAAACUCGUGGAAUUCUGUCAGAUCAAACCCUAAUUCUAGGUGUUGUUUGCAUAUUGGUCCUUUCUCUUGUUUAUUUGAUAAUUAAAAUUGAUACUUAAGAACCGUCAACAAAUACCCCCAUACUUAGGCUUUUACUCAUCCUCGAGAAAAGGAUGGUUAAGAAAAAUAUAUGGGGUAAAAACAUUGUAAAAUAUUUUCUUCAUACCUACAUGGUGUUAUAAAAAUUCACUAUGUACCGUAGUCAGGGAAAUAUAUGGUUAAGAGUAAAGAUCCUUUCUUCUCAAUCCUGUUACUUGGAGUUUUUAUAUAUUUUUGAAAAGAAAUUUAGCAUACCUUUUAUCCUCAUAGGUUCUCUCAGGUCACUCAUUAUCUUUUAUAUAUCUCACUGAGGCUAUUUUAAUUUGCAAAGAUUCUCAAGCAUACUUACCUUGUAUUUAUUGCAUGAUCAAAACGGGAUCCAAGGAGAAGAAUGCCAUACUCUUAGAUCAAAGACUUUGAAAAUUAAAAACUUGUCGACUCUUGCUGGCAUAUUGCUUCUUAGAGGGACCAUGGGCUAUCAUUUUCUUCUUUCUUCUUUUUUUAGUCGAUACUGAGGUACCCCUAAUUCUACUGCCGGACACUUGUCCAUUUUUUUUGCGAGGUUAUCGAGCACUUGCUCCCUUUUAUUUCCUCGAAUUAUUCAUAUUUUUGCGUAGCCCAUGCCUCUAAUGCCAUAAUACUUCGGAAGAGUGAAUCUUUCUGAAUAGAUGUCUUGAUCUUAGGAGCAUGAUAAAUCUCUCAACAAGGGUCUAACUCAUUUUGAACAAACUCAAUACAGAGUAGAUAGCAUUUAUGAUCAUAAUUAAUAUUUUCAGUUUUAUCAGGCAUAUAAAACACUGAGGAUGGUAGCUAGAAUUUUUGAAGAUUUUAAAAUAAAUUCUCCAAGCAGCAUUGAUAUCAAGAAUAAGAGACUUAUACUCUACCAUCUCACAUUCCACAAUGACUUAAGUAAUACAGGGUUUUAAAAUGAUUUUUCAAUAAUUGCAGGUUUUCAGGAGAUAUCACAGAGUGAGAUUAAUUAUGAUUAGAAACAUUUUAAUCUUUUUAAAUUUAUCAUGUCGGAAACAAUAUUCUGCAUAAUCCAAGAUGUGUGUGUGUAUGUGUAAAGUAAGUGUGCAGAGUAUGUACCUGAAUCGUGGAGUGGUGUGGUCGAAGUGUGUUUGGCAUGUCGAGGGAUCUCCCCCAUACUUGUUUUAUGCUUUCUUGCACAAAAAUAAAGUAGAGCCACACAAGACAUAAUAAUAAUAAUAAUAAUAAUAAUAAUAAUAAUAAUAAUAAUAAUAAUAAUAAUAAUAAUAAUAAUAAUAAUAAUAAUAAUACUCUUUAUUAAUCUUGAGGCAUUUAUUACAAAUGACUAGUAGCAAACUGACAAUAAAAGUAGCAAACUGACGAUAAUAGUAAAAUCUAAACCGAAUUUAAAGAUAAAUAACUAAGAUGCAUUGCCUCAAGAUCUAAUCCAGAUAACUUAGCGGCGCUCUAACUCCUUGAUCUUCUUAUUGGCACUAGCAAGAUCAUGCCUAAGGCCUAGUAUAACGGUGUUGUGGUUAGAGAGCUGCCUAUUGAUGGAGUUAACUGAGGACUAGAGGUCUAUGAUGACUCUGUCUAGCCUGCGAACGUCCUCAUCAAUAUCUACUAUAGUCUUGCGACGCAUAGGAGGUGUCUCAAAAGCAUUGAGAGCGUGCUUCGGGGCUGCUUUUGGAGGGAUGAAACGGACUUUGGCUGCUCUAAUCCCUUCCAAGUAAGGUCUCUCCUCUUCCGUAGUGUAGCGAAUGUUGUUGAUCUCACCGCUCCGGUUGGUCUUGACUCCAACGACCCUCUCAUUGGGUCUGGGUGGAAGGAUCCUUGUGCCGGUUGGCACCUUGACGGUGGUCUCCUUCUUGGCUGACGGUCCCUUGAGAAGUAGGGGUUGUGGUGGUGUGGUGAGAACUGGUUGAGCAUGGUAGGAUUAGGUGGAGCUGCACUGGCGUAAUGGUAUGGCUUCUAGCUGCCGCUCUCUGUUGGCCGGGAUGAGAGCACGGGCGUCGAGGUCUUCCUUUGGUUCCAUGUUGAGGUUGAAGGGGACGACUUCCCAAUCGUCGUGGAACUUUUCGGCCAUUGGAGCAGCGAGGAACUAAACAAGCUCUAAUUGAAGAAGAGGAGAAGGCUUGGGUGGAUUGGUGUUUGAAAACUAACGUCAGUGGUCUGUUUAUAUAGGGGUUAAAAAGUGCCUCUAGGGGUUGUUCGGGUUGCUCCCGUCGAUGGGCGUGCUAAACUUUCCAUCUGAGGGAUUAUUCGGAUUACCAUAAGUGUGUUUUCCAUAACGGAGGAAAUCGGGACCGAGAGGGGUCAGGAGAUGGGCGCCCGCCCUGUGUCUGGCCCCUCUGUGGGCCCACUUCCUCGAGCGUGUUUCUAGAUGCAGACUUAAUUAGGAAAAUAUAUGUGUGACCCAAAAAAUGUCAGAUUAAAAAGGUCGGGCUCUAAUUCUCCAUGGCAAGGUAGAAAUGGAUUACGUCUAUUUCUUCUAAUUCUUUAUUGGGCUCUAAAAAUAAUUUAAGACGUUGACCAUUUAUCUUGAAUAACGUACCUUCGUCAUUUUGAAGUGUGAUAGCUCCGUGGGAUGAUGAAUUGAUUACCUUGAAUGGUCCUUCCCAUUUACUCCGGAGUUUUCCAUGCCCGAAAAGCUUCACCCUGGAAUUAAAAAGUAAUACCUUAUCUCCGGGUGUGAACUCCUUCUUCUUGAUUCUCUUGUCAUGCCACCUUUUGACUCUUUCUUUGUAGAUCUUUGAAUUGUGAUAUGUGUUGGGUAUUCUUAACAUCAUUACUAAAAGUAGACUUAGUUUUCUAAUUCUAGUAACGGUGCCAAAAAUGCCAAACCUAUCCCUCAUACCACUUAAGCCAAGUUGUCAUCCCCAGCAUGACAUGAGAGACGCGGUAUUGAAAUAUGCAAUUGCUCUUCUAAAUAAAUAAUGAAUGGGAUCUGCAAGCGCACAGAUUAAUACUGAUGUAGCAUUUUAACCGGGAAGUAUUCCAGGUAUCGUUAUUUAUAUUUUUACCACUGGAAAGGGAUUAGUAACCAUAAAUAUUGAUUACAGAAUAGAAUAUGAGAUUGAGUAUCUAUCAUUGCAUGUAUAAUUGAGAACAUUUAUCUAACUCUCUCAUACAGGGGUAAGUGUCACAUAAAAGAUAUAUGAAGUAAUGAAUAGUGACAAAGAUAAUUAAUCUGAUCAGCAUAACUUAGCCACAUAAUAAAUAUGAUAAGCACCUCAAUUAGAUACUCUAGAAAGUCAUUAGCAUGGAAUUAGAACGAACUACAAGAAUAUUUCCUAAGUUAUCCUCAACUAUAUAGUUUAGCAUUAUCAUAGUUAGUGCAAGCAUACUUCGCAAUCAUUGCAGGACAAGAUUACGCCCAUGCAUAGUGAUAUUAUCAAGGUAAAUGAGAAACAUAGCAAUCACUCCCCUGUAAUAAUGUUGCUCUGCCAGCCCAAUACACGAGAGGGGGACUAUAUAAGAAUCAAUGAAACUAUGCUAAUCUAUGCUGAUCCGGAAACCAAUCGAAGAUUGACUCCUUUUAGUUCUAAUCCUAUGUAGCUACGCUAAUCUAGAUGUCUAAUUGAUGUGGUGGCUCUAGUCUUGAUCAGAGGAUUCUUCUCCCUUGAGAAUAAUGAAUUUGGGUUGAGAGGCUCUCUCCUCCAGGGGCCAGGGGGUCUGGUUUUAUAGUCCCUUCAAGUGAAUAUGGGCCGUUGGACCAAACCGACAUUGAUUGAACGGUUAUCCUUGAUCCUUUAGGUCGGUGGAGAUGGAUCCCGAAAGAGAGUCCUGAUCCAACUCUGAGAGGGGGCGGGCGCCCAGGUCAACUGGGCGGGCGCCCAGUGCCUGGCCCCGUUCGGCCUCCGCUUCCUUCCCGUAGCUUCUGGAGUCUUCUAGAUGUAAGAUAAUUGCGCGGCACGUUGAUAUCUCUAUGUAAUCCCGACGUGUGGGCCUUUCUUCCUUAUUUCCUGAUAACCCCCUGCAGAAAUAGACAAAUACAAAAACUCGUGGAAUUCUGUCAGAUAAAACCCUAAGUCUGGAUGUUGAUUUCAUUUGGAUCCUUUUCUUUGUUUAUUUGUAAAUUAAAUUUGAUACUUAAGGACCGUCAACAAACUCCCCCAAGCUUACCUCUUGCUCGUCCCUGAGCAAGGAUAGUCUCAGUGAUGGAUCAGAAGUUGUUGCAAUACCUUUAAAAGUUGACGGAACACAUGCUUUUUAAAUAAGAUCUCAUCUCUGAGUUAGAGUAAACUGUCAAGACUUAAAACUUACUUACUUUACCUUUCACCAUGGGACUUGUAACCGUCACUUCUGUCUUGAGUAGUUAAAAGAUAGAACAGUCUAGUCAAGUGUCAUGUCUCUUAUUCUUGAUCAGCUAUAGCUCUGAAGUUUUUGCAGAUUUUCAAAUAAAACUCAGAGAUUCCUUUGUAUGACUCUCUCAUAUCUCUCUUUUGUGGUAUUUUUGGAUCCUUACCAAGGCAGUAAUGGUAUAUGCCUUCUCUCAAAAUAUGUAGUAUUUGUGGUGUAAGGCAUAGUGACAUUGCCUUCUCUCUCAUCCUACUCGAAUAAGGCUUUUGAUAUAUGGAGCUCAUAGGUGGGAGAUAAAUUAUACAUACUUACAAGACAUUUAUUGUAUAGUCAAACCAUGGAUACAAAGAAACAAAUCAAUAAGUCAAAUCAAGAUGUGUAUGUGUGGCGAAUGAAUGGUGUAUGGUGAUAACAAUGGUGGAAGCCUAAUUCUACUUUUGCUCUUUGAGGGGAUACAUACCUUCCUUGCUUUUUGAAAUUUUGUGAGGAGAAUGAGAUGCUCUAUAUUUUCUUUUUCUUUCCUCUCAGGUGGGUAUCUUGUACCCCUAAUUCUACUGUCGGACACUUGUCCAUUUUUACCUCUUGUCUCACUCUUUCUUUUCUUUCGAGGUUCCGGGAACUUGCCCCUUUUUAUUUCCUCGUAUCUUUUUUUUAGAGCACUCAUCUCUUGAGAUAAUAUAGUAAGUGGUAGUAACAAGACAACUUGAGCAUUUAUUUCACAGGGGAAAAAUAGAAAUAUUUUUGACUAUUCUCUCUUGGAUUAGGAGUAGAAUAUUUUUGGGUGGUUCUGGAGAUGGAAAUGGGUGGAUAUAUGUGGAUGGUACUUCCGGAGUAGAAGUAGCAUGUAUGAGUGAACGUGCAAGUGAAUCUUGAUUUAACCACAUGACAAGCUCCUAGGGGUCUACACAGCUUGACCACACUCAAUGCUUAUAAGCAGUAAAAAGUAAAUGCGUGGUUCAAAGUUUAGCAAGCAUGUAUAUAUGGCUGUGGUAGGAAUUUAAACUCUCAUCAUACAGAAACUCAUCAUGUGUUAUUUUAAAGAUUUUCAAAGAUAAAAUUCUCUAGAAUUCUAGCAUCUCUAGGAACAGAUAAACAGCAGCUCAACCUUCCCAUAUCGUAUCCGUUAACAACUUAGACUUCAGAUCAAGUUUCCAUCCCACAAGUUUAGGUUUAGAGCAAGCUUUAAAUUAUAACAGUUAUGUCUAAACUUGAGAGAGAACUUAAAUUUGAAAAUUAGGCAGAGCAACUAUUCAUCAUAUCCAUGCUAGAGUUUUAUCAUUAAGAUUCAGAUUAGCAUAGUCACUUUAUUUAUUUAUUAAACAACCUAAGCAAAAGAUAUGUAUAUAAGCAUAAAAUUUUUAUUUGGUUUUUCAUAGUUAUGUAUAUUUAUAUUUUAAUAUAGUAUAAAAUAGAUAAAAAUACUUAUCGGGAUAAAUGGGGGUGCUCUCCCCCAAGCUGAAUUUUGACAUAAUUUCUCUUGAUGUAGCUAGCAGGUGGCAGAGGUGUAUUUGAAAGUCAGCAGCAUUCUGACAGCGAUUAGAAUGUCCUCCGUCUGCUAGUCUUCUUGAUUCUUUAAUUCUGUGGAGCUCAAAUAGACAACAAAGCUUUGUGGAACUGAUUAAGUGUUAGCAUAAAUAUCUAGCCUUUAUCAUGUUGAGUCUCCUCAAUCUUACUCUCUAUUUUUAUAUUUUCGUUUUAUAAAGCAGAAAAGAAAUAUUUAUUUUAUUUUUAUGCCACCACAGUGAAUGUACUUAUGGGUUUCAUGCCACUCGUAUACUCACAUGGGGCUUACUGUUUUUUACAUUUUUAUUUUCUUUUUAGGAUAGUAUAAAUAUAACUAAUUAAGUAAACUAUUUUAAAUAAUUGAAAGGGAAAGGAUAACUACCAAGUUUACCUCUUGGCAAGGCGUUCGGUGUUUUUAAGUCCUUCGAAUGGAACUCUCCGUUUUCUUAGUUGUCCUAUGAUUCGUUGGGUGGCGUAGUCGGUGCUUCGGGCAGCGCCUCCUCUUCAUGUAUAGUUAUCUUCUCCUUCCACACCUGACUCGGUGCUACGGUCUCCUCUGGAUAAUUCUAUUUAAACUGUAUGUCUUCUGACCUUACCACUUCUCCUUCGUAGUCUGCUCAUCCGUCCUUGAUGAUUUGCCUCCUCUGGUUGUGGUUGCGUCACUUUCUGACCUGCUUAGAUUCUUCAACGAUAUAGUUAGGGUUAGUAAAAUAGUGGCGUACCUUAUCUAAGGGGAAGUGCAUAUGGACUUCUCCAGUUCCAAUGUAGAUGAUUGCUUUAACGGUGCUAAGGAACAGUCUUCCAAGGAUGAUGGGUGGAUCGUACUCGUCUUCUCCCAUGUCAAUAACCUGAAAGACUAUGUAGACAAAAUGAUCGUCUAUUUUGACUGGGACAUCAGUUAAUGUUCCUUUAACUUCUCGAAAUAUCUGAUCUGCCAUCUGGAGCUGAAUGUAUGUUGGUUUUAGGGGCAUAGUUCCGAACAAGAGCCGAUAGGUGACUGUGGCCAUUAUGUUGACGCCCGAUCCGGUGUCGCAAAUCGUCUUGUAGAAGUUGUAUCCAUUUAUGGAGCAAUAGAUGCUUGGCAUUCCUGGGUCAUCCUUCUUGGCUAGGAACGGUGACUUAAGUUGAUGAUCUUGACCUCCAUGAACUGCAGUGACCAUCUGAGCUGACUCGGUCCACACUUGCUUGUUCCUGUUCCUCCUGUUGGUCCUCUUCCUUGAUUCACGUCUGGAUUGAUCUGGGAUUUGUGUAGUCUUGUUCUUGAAGGAAAAUGUCUCCUUUCUCCCUUUGAUGUAGAAACUGAUCUUGGCAGCACUAGCAUAGAUGACAGCUCCCGAGGUUUUCAAGAAUGGCCUCCCUAAGAUGAUGGGUGCUCUCUCAUCAUUACCGGUCUCUAUCACCACGAAGUCUGCUAGGGCAUACAAGGUACCAACUCAGACACAGAGGCUCUUCAAUAUUCCUUUUAGAAAACUUGAUCUGCAAACUGCAAACACAUGGUUGUUUCUAAUAAAGGAUAUGUAAAGAAUUUUUCAUAGAGUACCCUGGGCAUAAUGUUGACGCUGGAGCCAAAGUCGCAGAGUGCUUCUGGGACGUCCACCAUGCCGAUGGAAAUUGGGAUGACGGGGCGUCCUGGAUCGCCUCUCUUGACCGGCAGAAGGUCAGUAGUGAAUUCAGUGACGGGGUUACUCUAGUUAUUACCUGCAUCAAACAUGUCUACAAGAUUUGCAGAUUCUAAUCCUUUCGGUUGUGAUGGUAUACCGGGGUUAGUAGUAGGAACAGCAGCAGCUAUUUGAUUUAACUGAGAUUCAAUCAUUUUAUUAAAGCUAAUUUGAUUCUUGAUGGCAGUAGAGAAAUUAUCCAUUCUAUUAUUUAUAUUUUCUAGCAUUUUAUCAUUAGAUGCCAAUUUCAUAGAUAGGUUAUCCAUUAGCUUUCCUUGAUUAGACACUAACUCUCUCAGAGGUGGAAAAUUAUUAUUAUUGUUGUAAGAAUUAUUACCUUGAUAAUUACCUGAGUAGUUAGGUCUCUGUUGAUUCCAACCUUGAUUUUGUUGAGGACAGUUGUAGUAGUAUUUGUUGUUGUUGUUGUUGUUGAUGUAGUUCACAUCCUCAAGCAUCUCAGGGAAAUGAUUGCCUGAGUGUCCAGUAUCUCCACACUCCUCGCAAGUCAUGUGAGAGUCGUAGAUGUGCAUAACUUCUUUCUUAUCUCCAGCUCUAUCAUCAAGCUUCUUCAUGAGCAGGUCUAGCUUUGCAGACAGCAUGUCUACCUCCUUAAUCUGAUGCAUACCUCCACCUUUCUUGCGUGUCUGGGUCCUCUCUUCAUUCCAGCCUUGAUUGGACGCCAUCUUCUCCACAAGAGUUGUGGCUUGUGAUAUGGUAAGUGAUAGGAAUGCUCCUCCAGCUGCAGCAUCCAUGGUUUCUCAGGCACUGUUGCUGAGCCCAUGAUAAAAUGUUUGCAUUAGUAGCCAACUCUCCAUUCCAUGAUGGGGACAUUCUAGCAUGUAGUCUUGGAAACGCUCCCAUGCUUCUGGAACAGAUUCAUCAUGUUGUUGCUGAAAACUUGUAAUCUUCCCACGGAGAGCAUUGGUCUUGCUCAUGGGAAAGAACUUAGCCAGAAAAUUUGUGGAGCAGAGUGCCCACGUAGUAUUCUUCUCCUUCGUAGCGUAAAACCACUGCUUCGCUCUUCCUAAUAGUGAGAAUGGGAAGAGGCGAAGUAGUAUUGCAUCUCUGGGGACUCCUGAUAUGGUAAAUGUGCUGCAAAUCUCCAGAAAGUGUUGGAGAUGAGCACUAGCAUCUUCGUGUGCCUUCCCACAGAACUGGUUGGAUUGCACCAUGUUGAUAAGUCUAGGCUUGAGCUCAAAGUUGUUGUCGAUCUCUGCAGUAGGUCCAGUGCUGAUGUUGUCCGUAGUGGGAGCUGACAACUCACGGAUUGAUUUGUUCGCCAUAGCUUCGAACUCUGAAGAUAAGUUCCGGUGAUCUUCUUGAUUGGAUGAAGCUUCUUGCUGAAGUGUUGAUGAUCUCUUCUUGAGCUUGGCUCUAGUUUUUCUGAAUAAUGCUUCGGGAUUGUCAACAAAAUUUCUUGGAAGAUGUCUUCUAUUCAUACAUUCCCCUGCAUAAGAUAAAAUUGAAAAAUAUCGGGGUAAAACUGUAUGAGAGAAUAGAUAAGCUCAAUCAUAUUAGUGAUGCGAAUGAUAACUCAAAAUCCUAUAUCCAUUCCUGAUUAGUAAUCAACCUUCCCCGGCAACGGCGCCAAAAAUGCUUGUUGGGUAUUCUUAACAUCAUUACCAAAAGUAGACUUAGUUUUCUAAUUCUAGUAACGGUGCCAAAAAUGCCAAACCUAUCCCUCAUACCACUUAAGCCAAGUUGUCAUCCCCAGCAUGACAUGAGAGACGCGGUAUUGAAAUAUGUAAUUGCUCUUCUAAAUAAAUAAUGAAUGGGAUCUGCAAGCGCACAGAUUAAUACCGAUGUAGCAUUUUAACCGGGAAGUAUUCCAGGUAUCGUUAUUUAUAUUUUUACCACUGGGAAGGGAUUAGUAACCAUAAAUAUUGAUUACAGAAUAGAAUAUGAGAUUGAGUAUCUAUCAUUGCAUGUAUAAUUGAGAACAUUUAUCUAACUCUCUCAUACAGAGGUAAGUGUCACAUAAAAGAUAUAUGAAGUAAUGAAUAGUGACAAAGAUAAUUAAUCUGAUCAGCAUAACUUAGCCACAUAAUAAAUAUGAUAAGCACCUCAAUUAGAUACUCUAGAAAGUCAUUAGCAUGGAAUUAGAACGAACUACAAGAAUAUUUCCUAAGUUAUCCUCAACUAUAUAGUUUAGCAUUAUCAUAGUUAGUGCAAGCAUACUUAGCAAUCAUUGCAGGACAAGAUUACGCCCAUGCAUAGUGAUAUUAUCAAGGUAAAUGAGAAACAUAGCAAUCACUCCCCUGUAAUAAUGUUGCUCUGCCAGCCCAAUACACGAGAGGGGGACUAUAUAAGAAUCAAUGAAGCUGUCACUAUCACGAACUACCCCGCGAUCUGGCAUAUUGGGUACAAUCGCAGAUAAAUACGGUAUAAGCACCACGCCUGCACAAUAUCUAUCAUUUACCCAUGGAUCCAAUGGAUAAACGCUAUACGAUCCUAAACAUGUAUAUAGAUCCAAUCUAACUAAGCCAAGUAUAUAACUAUGAUAAACUAAGAACAAUAUAAUCUUGAAUAUAAACAAGUAGAGCAAAGUCAUAAGCAAUAUCUUGAAGUAGAACAAAGUCAUAUUCAUAAUAUUGAAGAACAAAGAUAAUUAGAGAACAAUUAGAAGAACAAUUAGAGAAUUACCAAGAAUCCUCUUGACAGAUCCAGAAACCAAUCGAAGAUUGACUCCUUCUAGUUCUAAUCCUAUGUAGCUAUGCUAAUCUAGAUGUCUAAUUGAUGUGGUGGCUCUAGUCUUGAUCAGAGGCUUCUUCUCCCUUGAGAAUAAUGAAUUAGGGUUGAGAGGCUCUCUCCUCCAGGGGCCAGGGGGUCUGGUUUUAUAGUCCCUUCAAGUGAAUAUGGGCCGUUGGAUCGAACCGACAUUGAUUGAACGGUUAUCCUUGAUCCUUUAGGUCGGUGGAGAUGGAUCCCGAAAGAGAGUCCUGAUCCAACUCUGAUAGGGGGCGGGCGCCCAGGUCAACUGGGCGGGCGCCCAGUGCCUGGCCCCGUUCGGCCUCCGCUUCCUUCCCAUGGCUUCUGGAGUCUUCUAGAUGUAAGAUAAUUGCGCGGCACGUUGAUAUCUCGAUGUAAUCCCGACGUGUGGGCCUUUCUUCUUUAUUUCCUGAUAACCCCCUGCAGAAAUAGACAAACACAAAAACUCGUGGAAUUCUGUCAGAUAAAACCCUAAGUCUGGAUGUUGAUUUCAUUUGGAUCCUUUUCUUUGUUUAUUUGUUAAUUAAAUUUUAUACUUAAGGGCCGUCAACAAUAUGCUUUCUCUCGCCAUUCUUCUAAUUCUGAUAGUUGCAUUCUUCUAUGAUUUCCAGCAACAUCUAGGUCCAUAUUCCAUCUUCUUAUGGCCCAGUGUGCUUUGAACUCUAGUUCAACAGGUAGGUGGCAAGUCUUCCCGUACACCAAUUGGUAUGGGGACAUUCUAAUUGGGGUCUUGCAUGCUGUCCGGUAUGCCCAGAGUGCAUCGGGUAACUUGUCUUUCCAUGCCGUUCCUAUUUCAUUUACUGUCUUCUGAAGAAUGUUCUUGAUUUGCUUGUUGGAAGUCUCUGCUUGGCCACUUGUCUGAGGAUGGUAGGGGGUAGCGACGUUGUGACAGAUUCCAUGUUUUGAUAGAUAUUGCUUGAAGCGUUUGUCGAUGAAGUGUGCUCCUCCAUCACUUAUCACUACUCUGGGAACUUCAAAUCUUGGAAAUAUAAUUUCUUCAAACAUCCUCUUUGAACUGAUGUUGUCGGCGUGUUUGCAAGAUAGUGCCUCUACUCACUUGGAGACGUAGUCAACUGCCACGAAGAUGUACUCACACUUCUUUGAUGGAGGAAAUGGACCCAUGUAGUCUAUUCCCUAGACAUCAAAGAGCUCAAUCUGAAGGUUGUUGGUGAGUGGCAUAGCAUCUCUUGUAUUUAUGUUUCCAUGCCUUUGACAUGGCCCACAUCUUCUGAUAUAUUGCUUCAUGUCUUCAUACAUUGUAGGCCAGUAGAAUCCACACUGCCAGAUCUUUGAAUGUGUACGGAAUGCUCCAUAAUUGCCUCCAUAUGGUGAUGAAUGACAUCUGUCGAUGAUCUUCCAUCCUUCCUCAGUGGUCACACACCUCCUGAGUAAGCCAUCAGAGCACACUCGGAAGAGGUAUGGCUCAUCCCAUAUAUGUGAAGGACUUUCUUGAAUAAGCUUCUUCUUGUUUUCUCCUGGUGGUACAUACCCUAAAACCAUAAAAUUAACAAUAUUUGCAUACCAGGGGUCAGACUUGUUAAUCCCGUAGAGCAUGUCGUCCCAGAGUGAAUCAUUGAUGGGGGUUUCCUGUGGACUCUUAAAAUACAUUCUAGACAAGUGAUCAGCAAUAGAAUUUUCUACUCCCUUUUUAUCUUUUAUUUCUAAGUCAAAUUCUUGAAGUAAUAAGAUCCAUCUAAUCAGGCGAAGUUUAGCAUCUUUUUUAGUGAGCAAAUAUUUUAGUGCAGCAUGAUCAGUGUAAACAAUUAUUUUAGCUCCAACUAAAUAAGAUCUAAAUUUAUCAAUGGCAAAGACAACAGCUAGAAGCUCUUUUUCAGUGGUUGCAUAAUUAAGUUGAGCUCCUGUCAAAGUUUUACUCGCAUAAGCAAUUGCAUGAUGCUUCUUAUUUUUAGUUUGUCCCAAAACUGCCCCCACAGCAUAAUCACUAGCAUCACACAUAAUUUCAAAAGGCAACGACCAAUCAGGGGGUUGAAUGAUUGGUUCAGAGAUGAGUGCUUUCUUUAAUAAAUUAAAAGAUGUUAGACAUGCAUCAUCAAAUUCAAAAGGAGCAUCCUUGGCUAGCAAAAGAGUAAGUGGUCUAGCAAUGAAUGAAAAAUCUUUUAUGAAUCUACGAUAAAAACCAGCAUGGCCAAGAAAGCUUCGAAUUCCUUUUAUAUUCACAGGUGGAGGUAGUUGUUCAAUUACUUCAAUUUUAGCUUUGUCUACCUCAAUACCUCUUUUAGACACUAGGUGUCCCAGCACUAUUCCCUCCCUAACCAUAAAAUGACAUUUUUUCCAAUUAAGGAUUAAGUGCAUUUCUUCACAUCUUUGCAAAACCUUGUCUAAGUUUUCAAGACAACUAUCAAAAAUUUUUCCAUAAACAGAGAAAUCAUCCAUGAAAACUUCCAUAAUUUCUUCAAUCAUAUCAGAAAAUAUAGACAUCAUGCAUCUUUGAAAAGAAGCUGGUGCAUUACAUAACCCAAAAGACAUUCUACGGGAAGCAUAAGUUCUGUAUGGGCAUGUAAAAGUGGUUUUGCUUUGAUCAUCGGGAUGGAUCGGGAUCUGGUGAUACCCUGAAUACCCAUCUAAGAAACAGAAGAACGAAUGGUUCGCUAAUCGCUCUAGCAUCUCAUCUAUGAAAGGUAAAGGAAAAUGAUCCUUUCUUGUGGCUUUGUUCAGUUUUCUAUAGUCUAUGCACAUCCGCCACCCUGUGACGGUGCGUUGUGGAAUUAGCUCGUUCUUUUCAUUCGUAAUAACAGUCAUGCCUCCCUUUUUAGGCACAACUUGCACUGGGCUUACCCACUCACUGUGCGGCAUAGGAUAUAUAAUCCCUACAUGCAGCAACUUUAUAACUUCCUUUUUAACUACCUCUCUCAUUGUGUUGUUAAGUCUACGUUGGGGUUCUCGAGAAGGUGAAACAGAAGGAUCUGUUGGAAUAGGAUGGGUACAAAUCAUAGGACUUAUUCUUGUAAGAUCUUGGAGUGAGUAACCGAAAACUGAGUGAUGUUUCUCAAGAAAGGUCAUUAAUCGCAGAGUGUGCUCCUAAGUGAGUUUAUCACUAAUGAUCACAGAAAACUCUGGAUUAUUGUUUAGGAAAGCAUAGAUAAGACCGGGUGGUAAAGUUUUAAGCUCUAUGGGAGGUCUAGGUGUUUCUGCAAACUCAUCUAAGGGUUCAGGUUCAGAAGGUUCGGCUUCUUCUUCUGUGAAGAAAGGAGUUUCGUCUUCUAAGUCUGAUUUAUCUAAAAGCUCUAGAGACGCGGCCUUUACUUCCUCCAUAGGAUCAGGCAAAAGAUAUGACUUGGCCUUAUUAUUCAAGGAGUGUGAAAUUGUUAUUGGAAAUUUAAAGGUUUUUCCAAAAGAAAUGUGUAGCUUUCCAGUAUGACCUUCAUAAAGGAGUCUUGUAAAAGGUUGUCCUAUCAACAGGUCGAAGUCCCAUGUAUCAAAGAUAUAGAAGUUCAAAUGAACCAUGGAGCCUUCUACCGUAAGAGGUAGGACAUUUAUAAUUCCAAGACUGGGGACUAAUCGUCUCGAAGAUUCCUUUAUGACCUUUUUUGUGGGGGUUAAGACAAGAUUUUUAAAUAAUUUAAGUGCAAAGGAUUUAGACAUGAUGUUGAUCCCCACAACAGGAUUAUAGAGAGCAUCAAAUCGAUCAGAAUUAUAAGCACAGCGUAUAGUUAUAGAGGGUGUGUCCAAACGGAUCACAUCAGACGAAAGCUCUGAUUCCUCCAACCAUUCGCUACUCAUGACUGAGAUAAGCUCUCUCAAUUGAUAUUCACUUGGUAAACAAAUGCUAAACUGGCCGUCUUGGGGUUUGUCUAUGGAAUGGUAGUUUGAAAUGUUUCCAAAAUCGGCAAAAAGAUCAGAUUCUAUAUCCAGCAUGAAGUCCCUGGUGGUGGAAUUUCUUCCUUUUGUGGCUCAGAACUUGGGAUAGCUAAAGUAGAUGAAGAAUUUGGCAGAGUGUCUACUUCGGCUUCGUGGGUUUCAUCAUGAAGGGUAUUAUCCAUCUCAGCUUCUAGGAUUCUAUCUAAGAUCACUCUAGCAUCAUCAGUAGGGAUGCGAAAGAAAGAACCUCUAGACAUUGUAUGUAGCAUUUGUUUAUGCUCUUUCUAAAGACCUCGAAAAAAGUGAAAUAAAAGAAUAGGGUCUUCAAGAUUAAGGUUUGGACCAGAUUCUAAAAGAUCAGAAAAACGUUUCCAGGAUUUUCCCAAAGUUUUAUUAUCUUUCUGUUUAAAAGAUAGGACUUCGAGUCUAGGGUUACCGAUACGGUCGAGGGAAUAAAAAUCUAGACAAAAGUUGGCUCGUAAAACUCCCCAUUCACCUUGUUGUUGACUUACCUUCUGACUGUACCAUUGUCUAGCUUCUCCCCUUAAAGAAAAAGGAAAAAGCUUCCAUCGUAAAGUCUUAUCAGAAAUGCCUUCAAUGUGAAGACAAUCACAUGUUUGCUCAAAAUCCCUAAUAUGAAGGUAAGGGUUUUCGUCUUCCUUUCCCGAAAAAGAUAGGUUUUGAAUCAUGGUAAUCAACCUAGAACUUAACCUAUACUGGGAUGUUUGGAUAGGCUGUGAUGACUCCCAUGGUAAAAGGUCAGUUACUAAAGGGAAUGCAGAUUCGUAGAUUGAUUUAGAAUCUUGGUUUUCCAUAAGGUAAGAAUAAAGAAAAUAAGUAAAGAAUAUAAAAGAUAAGAAAAGGUAAAAGUAUAGAUACAAGCUAGUAGUAAGACUCAAGGUUAUCUCAGCAAACCGUCUUUCUCCCCGGCAACGGCACCAGAAAUGCUUGUUGAUAUUUGGGAACGCAAUAAGGAAUGGAUCCACAAGCGCACGGAUAUCGGUGAGCACUUUACCCGGGAGGUUAUCCAGAGUAUCGUAUUUAUUUUUUUACCACUAGGAGAAACAGUGCAUCUGACUAACCCGGUAUAUUACUACUAACCAUUAGGCUACAAAGAAUGUUUCUCGAUGUGAGUGAUAAAUAGAGAAGACUACAACCGUAGUCUCUUUCUAACAUUGGUAAGGAUGAUUUACUUUUCUAAUGGGGAAGCUUACGGAAUCUAGACACCACAGAGGACGUUCAACCCGCACCUAUAAACCCUAUCCAUCCUGCUAAUGAGAUAUGGUUUUUAAAGGUAACUCGGAAAUGUCACGUUCCUCGCUACUGCCACGGUCCGGCUAGUCAGGGAAUAUCUAUGAGUAUUCUAGCCCAAACACCACGUCUACACUAGGGAUGAUUACUCUAAACUCUACGCGAAGAGAUUAAAGUAAACUCAUAAACUAAAGAACAAUAAAACAAGAACUUACUAGAAUUUAGAAGUCGAAAUACUGAAGAAUCCUAGGAGCAAGCCUCGGGUUAGAAGACUUGAUCCCGUAGGUACAACCUUGAAGUAGACACCGAUAGGCCGGGCUUCCUCCGAUCUACACCUCCACUCUAUCUCUCUCAAUCUAGUAGAAACUAGAAGAUCUAAUUCUACUCACAUUGGAUGCUAAGCCUAAAAGAAAUUUUAUUUAGAGGAGAGGUAUUCCUUCGAGGGCACCUCUCAACUCUAUGAUGAACUUGUCUCCUCCAGGGCCAGGGGGUCUGGCUUUAUAGUCCCCUCAAGUGAACGUGAGCCGUCGGACCAAACCGACAUUGAUUGAACGGUUAUCCUUGAUCCUUUAGGUCGGUGGAGCUUGGUCCGCGAAAAGAGUUCUAAUUGGAGUCCAGAGGGGGGCGGGCGCCCUGGGCCAGGCCCCUUUCGGCCUCCGCUUUGUUCCCGUGGCUUCUGGAGUCUUCUAGAUGGUAGAAAAUUGUGCGGUGCGUUGAUAUCUCUAUGUAAUCCCGACAUGUGGGCCUUUCUUCCUUAUUUCCUGAUAACCCCCUGCAGAAAUAGAUAAACAACAAAACUCGUGGAAUUCUGUCAGAUCAAACCCUAAUUCUAGGUGUUGUUUGCAUAUUGGUCCUUUCUCUUGUUUAUUUGAUAAUUAAAAUUGAUACUCAAGAACCGUCUACAGAGAACGAUGAAGAACGAACCAGUUGCAGCAAAAGUAUAAUGUUGAGGAAGAUCCGACAGAUCCGGCUCCUCCUCCGCUCUCCUCUUCUCUCUCCCUAUUUUCUAGAUUACAACUAGAACUAACUAGAACUAGAACUAGAGGAACUAGAGAGAUCCUCUCUACUCAGAUGAAGAAUUGAAACCCUAGCUUUGAUUCUGUUGAAGAGGUAUGCUCUCCAGGGGCCAGGGGGCCUUGCUUAUAUAGUCUUUUCAGAUGAAUCUGGGCCAUCGGAUCAAACCGACAUUAAUCGCACGGUUUUCCUUGAUCCUUUAGGUUGGUGGAGCGUGAUCCGCGAAACGGGUCCUGUUUGGACUCUGAAGGCGGGCGCCCAAAGGAGUAGGGCGGGCACCCUGUCCCUGAGCCCUCUCGGUUUCCCGUUCGUUCCCGUGGCUUCUGGAGUCUUCUAGAUGAUAGAAAAUUAUGCGGCACGUUAAUAUCUCUAUGUAAACCCGACAUGUGGGCCUUUCCUCUGUAUUUCCUGAUAACCCCCUGCGGAAAUAGACAAACACCAAAACUCGUAGAAUUCUGUCAGAUAAAACCCUAAGUCUGGGUGUUAGUUGCAUUUGGAUCCUUUUCCAUGAUUAGUUGACGGUUAAAUGUGAGCAUUAAGGACCGUCAACAAGCUCCCCCAAGCUUAACCAUUGCUCAUCCCUAAGCAAGAUGAACUCAAGAAUUUCUAAAGUGGUUUCAUGCCUUAAAGAUAUACAUGCGUCAAAACAAGAUCUCAUCUCUGGGUUAGGGUAAACUGUUAAGAUUUAAACUUACUCAUUUUUCCUUCCAUCAUGGGGCUUGCAACCGUCACUUGUGUCUUGAGCAGUUAAAAGAUAGAACGGUCUAGUCAAGUGCCAUGUCUCUUGUUCUUUGAUUAACUAUAGCUCUGGAGUUUUUGUAGAUUUUCAAAUAAAACUCAGAAAUUCCUUGUAUGACUCUCUGUAGUCCCUCUUUUGUGGUAUUUCUGGAUCCUUACCAAGGCAGUAAUGGUGUAUGCCUUCUCUCAAAGUAUGUGGUAUUUUUGGUAUGAGGCAUAAUGGCAUUGCCUUCUCUCUCACCCUACUCUAAUAAGGUUUUGAUAUGUGGAGCUCAUAGGUGGGAGACAGCUAAUACAUAUUUACAAGACAUUUAUUGCAUAGUCAAACCAUGGAUCCAGAAGAACAAGUCAAUAAGUCAAAUCAAGAUAUGCAUGUGUGGCGAAUGAAUGGUGUAUGGUGAUGAUGGUGAUAACAAUGGUGAAAGUCUAAUUCUACUUGUGCUCUUUUGAGGGGAUACAUAUCUUUCUUGCUCUUAUGAAACUUUUUGAGGAGAAUGAGAUGCUCUAUAUUUUCUUUUUCUUUUCUCUUAGGUGGGUAUCUUGUAACCCUAAUUCUACUGUCGGACACUUGUCCAUUUUUACCUCUCAUCUCACUUUUUCUUUUCUUUUGAGGUUCCGGACACUUGCCCCUUUUUAUUUCCUCGUAUCUUCUCUCUUUUUUUUAGAGCACUCACCUCUUUUAAUAAUGUAGCAAGUGGUAGUAACCGAAAUAUCAUGAGCAUUUAUUUCAAAGGGGAAACAGAAAUAGGAGAAUGUUUUUGGCUAUUCUCUCCCGGAUUAAGAGUAGAAUAUUUUUGGGUGGUUCUGGAGAUGGAAAUGGGUGGAUAUAUGUGGAUGCGUACUUCCGAAGUAGAAGCAGCAUGUGUGGGUGAACGUGCAAGUGAAUCUUGAUUUAACCACAUGACAAGCUCCUAAGGGUCUACACAGCUUGACCACACUCAAUGCUCAUAAGCAGUAAAAAGUAAAUAUGUGGCUCAAAGUCUAGCAAGCUUGUAUAUAUGGCUAUGGUAGGAAUUUAAACUCUCAUCAUACAGGAACUCAUCAUGUGAUAUUUUAAAGAUUUUCAAAGAUAAAAUUCUCCAGAAUUCUAGCAUCUCUAGGAACAGAUAAAUAGCAGCUCAACCUUCCCACAUCAUAUCCGUUAACAACUUAGACUUUAGAUUAAAGUACUCUUUCCACAAGUUCAGGUUUAGAGCAAAUCUUAAUUAAUAACAGUAAUAUCUAAAAUUGAGAGAGAUUUCAAUUUUGAGAACUAGUCAUGGCAGAGCAACUAUUCAUCAUUUCCAUAUGAGAGCUUAUCACGAAGGUUCAUAGCAAAUUUUAUUUAUUUAUUUAUUUAGCAAACUAAGCAAAGAUAUAUAUAUAAGCACAAAAUCUUUAUUUGGAUUUUUAUGAUUAUGCAUCUUUUUAUUAUUUGAGUAAAGUAUAAACAUGAGUAGAACACUUAGCUGGAUAAAUGGGGGUGCUCUCCCCCAAGCUGGAUUUUGACGUAAUUUCUCCUGAUGUAGCUAGCAGGUGGCGGAGGUGUAUUUGAAUGUCCGCAGCACCCUGACAACGAUUAGGAUGUCCUCCAUCUGCUAGUCUUCUUUGAUCCUUGAAUUCUGUGGAGCUCAAAUAGACAACAAAGCUUUGUGGAACUAGUUAAGUGUUAGCAUAAAUAUUUAGCCUUUAUCAUGUUGAGCCUCCUCAAUAAAUGUUACUUUCUUUGGUAGGAUCACAAUUUUAUUUUUAUAUUUUCAUCAUUUUUUUAGAGCAGAAGAAUAUUUAUUUCAUUUUUACACCACCACAGUGAAUGUACUUAUGGAUUUUAUGCCAUGAGCAUACUCACAUGGGGCUUACUAUUUUUAACAUUUUUAUUUUCUUUUCAAGAUGAUAUAAACCUGAUUAAGUAAGCAAACUAUUUUAAUUAAUUGAAAGGAAAAGGAUAACUACCAAGUUUACCUCUUGGCAAGGCGUUCGGUGUUUUUAAGUCCUCUGAACGGGACUCUCCGUAUUCUCAAUCGUCCUGGGAUUCGCUGGAUGGCGUAGUCGGUGGUUCCGGCGGCGCCUUCUCUUCUUGUAUAACUAUAUUCUCUCUCCACACCUGACUCGGUGCUACGGUCUCCUCAGGAUAGUUCUGUUCAAGUUGUAUGUCUUCGGACCUUACUACUUCUCCUUCGUAGUUUGCCCAUCCGUCCUUGAUGAUUUGCCUCCUCUGGUUGCGGUUGCGUCGUCUUCUUCUUGUCUUGACCUACUUAGAGUCUUCAACUAUAUAGUUAGGGUCAGUAAAAUAGCGGUGUACCUUCUUAGAGGGGAAGUGCAUGUGGACUUCUUCGGGUCCAAUGUAGAUGAUUGCUUUAAUGGUGCUGAGGAACGGUCUCCCAAGGAUGAUGGGUGGAUCGUUCUUGUCUUGUCCCAUGUCAAUAACCUGAAUGAUCGUCUAUUUUGACAGGGACAUCAGUUACUAUACCUUCAACCUUUCGGAAUGUUUGAUCUGCCAUCUGGAGCUAAAUGUAUGUCGAUUUUAGGGGCAUGGUUCCAAACAUGAGCUGAUAGGUGACUGCGGCCAUUAUGUUGACGCUUGACUCGGUGUCGCAAAGCGUCUUCUGGAAGUUGUAUCCAUUAAUGGAGCACUGGAUGCUUGGAAUACCUGAGUCAUCCUUUUUUGGUCAGGACCGGUGAUUUAAGUCGACGAUCUUGACCUCCUUGAACUACAGUGACCAUCUUAGCUAACUCGGUCCACAUUUGCUUGUUAAUAUUCCUCCUGUUGGUCCUCUUCCUUGGUUCAUGUCAGGAUUGCUCUGAGAUUCGUGUAAUCUUGUUCUCGAAGGAAAACGUCUUCUUCUUCCCCUUGAUGUAGAAACUGAUCUUGGUAGCACUAGCGUAGAUGACAGCUCCCGAGGUGUUCAGGAAUGGCCUCCCUAGGAUGAUGGGUGCCCUCCCAUCAGUAUCAGUCUCUGUCACCACGAAGUCUGCUAGAGCGUAUAAGGUACCAACUCGAACGUAGAGGUUCUUCAAUAUUCCCUUUGGGAAACUUAGUGUCUGAUAUGCAAGCUACAAAUACAUGGUUGUUUCUCGUAAAGAAUGUGUAAAGAAUUUUUCAUAGAGUACCCUGGGCAUAAUGUUGACGCUGGAGCCAAAGUCGCAGAGUGCUUCUGGGAAGUCCACCAUGCCGAGGGAGAUCGGGAUGACGGGGCAUCCUGGAUCGCCUCUCUUGAUUUUGUUGAGGAUGGUUGUAGUUGUUGUUGUUGGUGGUGGUGUAGUUUACGUCCUCAAGCAUCUCAGGGCAGUGAUUGCCUGAGUGUCCAGUAUCUCCAGUGUGUUUGUGCUCGUAGAUCUAGGUUCUUCACUUGGUGGAGUCGAAGUGUACCUGCUCAUAGAGACAAGGAAGAGAUCAAGUGCAUGGGCCCUGUUGGUGGAAAACACCAACUGAACCAAAAGUGUAUUUGUUCUUCUCUAACCUUAAGCAUAGUGAGCAAGACAAAGUUGAUGGAUAAUAAGAUCAUGAGCGUAGCAUUUAAAACAUUUGUCAGAUCAGAUUGCUCAACCUAAAAGAAAGAUAAUCUAUCUAUACUUAUGUUGUUUUUUUAUAUAUCUUCUAAAGAUUACGUGUGCAACAUUUUAGCUCAUAUGAUUAGGAGUGUGGGAUCACAACGGUGGAAGGACUAAACAUAUUGAAUCGAUUGGGUUGGUUAAUCUAGAGUUGUAAAUCAUACAUGUUUGUCUCUUUUAUCCAUGUGAAUGCCAGAACCAAGGAGGAGCUUAUAAAAAGUGAUAGUCAAGUACAUUAAGAUGUUACCUUACUUGAAGAGUGAUGGUUUAGUGUCACCUUGUGGAAGCUUUCCUUUCUUAGCGGUUGUGCAUCGUGUUUGUGGCACUCUCUAUGGAUCAUCUCUUGUGAGCUAUGCCUUCCUUGUGUAAAUUGUUAAACUUCAUGUGUCUCUCUCUUUGUCUCCAAUGUGAGUUUAUCUCAGGACUUCCCAGGUCGAUAUUGAAAGUUUUCCUGCAGGGGUUAGUCCAACAAAAUAUCCAAUAUCUACUACAGCAUACUAUCGGCUCAAAAAUCAACCUAGACACCAUGUCUAAUUUGAUUUAGGAGGGCAUUUUAACCUAAGCACCAUGCUUAAUUUAAAAUCCCUUGGAAGUAAGAUCAACAUUCCUAACUAAGCACCAUGCUUAAUUAAGAGAUAAAUGAAACUACUCCAAACCUAGACAUAUACUAAAGCAAAUAAAGGUAGCAUGAGAGCAUUUAUAGAGAUCUACUCAAGUGGAGAUGAAGUAGUGUGAUUAGUAUUUAACAAAUUGAGCAUGUCUCAAAGGUAAGGACAACCAACAUAGCAACAUAACAAGGGAUGUUUUUAUGUAAAGUAUUCCCCCAAGCUUGAAUUUUGCAAAAUUCAAGUUUGAAUGAAUUUAAUUCAAUGUUGUAUGAUGAUUGGUUGGACAUACCUUGUGCUUGUCAUUCAUCCUAUCUUCUUGCUCCAAUCCUGGGAAGGUUAGUGACAAGAAUACCCGAAGGAAUAUUUUUACAAUUAUCCUUAUAUGCUCAAUACACAAGGUAAUGUUGCAAAUAAUUAAAAGCUCAUGUUACGAUCUGAUCAGUGCUUAUUUUAGGACACUAAGCUUGUCCUUGGGAAACCAUCAAUUUAUGUCUGCGAAGUGGUUUCCCCUCCAACGCUGACCUAUAUCAAGAUCAACUCAACGAGAUCUGCAAAAUUUAUUAUGACAUAUGCAUCGACAACCGCCCUUUUAAAGUUUUUAUAAAUAGAAAGGAAGAGGGGGUUGGAGAUCUCGAAUGUGGUGAUGUUGGAGAGACCAAUGGAUUGUGAAGAUAUUACAUAUGAGCAUGGAGUAAAUGAAGUGGCUAUGAAAUAAAUUCCAUGCUCAUUAAUGCUUGGAGUGAAAUCCAUGUGGUGUGGUGAAAAUGGUAAGGUGAAUGUGGUCAAAAAAGGAAAAGAAAAAGGAUACACGGACGACUUGGUUCGAAACUAGCACAGCUACCGUUCCCCGGCAACGGCGCCAGAAAGCUUGUUGGGUAUUUUAAACGCAAACAGAAAAAUCCGCAAGCGCACGAAUACCGAUGUAGCUUUCACCCGAGAGUAUUCCAGAGUAUUGAUUUUGGACAGGAAACGUGAGUGAAAUAAUUAAGAUUCAAGAUCGCCCAAGGAUAACUAUAUAAUUAUUUUUGGUGAGAAGAGAGGAAGUUUUCUGAGAGUUCACUAGUUGAUCUAAGAAUCAAGAAUUACUUCAAAGAUUAUUUAUUUCGGGACAUCACAACACUAACCACAGAAAGAGAUCAGAAGGGGGCUAGGAAGGUCUGACUACGGUCCUACAAACACCGAUCCGAACGAGGUGGAAUACGUCGACCGUUAGGGCUAUCACUAACCUAGGGCUACCACAACAAUCCGCAGGAUUGGGUGCAAUUCCAGGUAAUUCAAGACUAAACACCACGUCUAAUCUAUUAAUUACUACUCUAGCGUUAUAAAGACUAGAGCACUUGAUGCAAGCGGGAAUUCAAUAAAUAACUUGAAUGUAAAUAAAAGUAAUUAAAGAACUCAGGAAUUAUGAAUUGAAGGACCUAGAGAACGAUGAAGAACGAACCAGUUGCAGCAAAAGUAUAAUGUUGAGGAAGAUCUGACAGAUCCGGCUUCUCCUCCGCUCUCCUCUUCUCUCUCCCUAUUUUCUAGAUUACAACUAGAACUAGAACUAGAGGAACUAGAACUAGAACUAGAGGAACUAGAGGGAUCCUCUCUACUUAGAUGAAGAAUUGAAACCCUAGCUUUGAUUCUGUAGAAGAGGUAUGCUCUCCAGGGGUAUUGACGGUCCUUAAUGCUCAUAUUUAACCAUCAAUUAAUCAUAGAAAAGGAUCCAAAUGCAACCAACACCUAGACUUAGGGUUUUAUCUGAUAGAAUUCCACGAGUUUUGGUGUUUGUCUAUUUCUGCAGGGGGUUAUCAGGAAAUACGGAAGAAAGGCCCACACGUCGGGUUUACAUAGAGAUAUUAACGUGUCGCGCAAUUUUCUAUCAUCUAGAAGACUCCAGAAGCCACAGGAAUGAACGGGAAGGAAAUCGGGCUCGGAGGCAGGGCGCCCGCCUAACUCUCCUGGGCGCCCGCCCAGCUACAGUGCCCAAUCAGGACACGUUUCGUGGAUCAUGCUCCACCGACCUAAUACUUCAAGGAAAACCACACGAUCAAUGUCGGUUUGAUCCGACGGCCCAGAUUCAUCUGAAAAGACUAUAUAAGCAAGGCCCCCUGGCACCUGAAGAGCAUACCUCUUCUACAGAAUUAAAGUUAGGGAUUCAAUUCUUCAUCCAAGUAGAGAGGAUCCCUCUAGUUCUUCUAGUUCUACCUCUAGUUCAUCUAGAUCUAGUUCUAGUUCAUCUAGUUCUAGUUCUAGUUCUAGUUAGUUCUAGUUGUAAUCUAGAAAAUAGGGAGAGACAAGAGGAGAGCAGAGGAGGAGCCAGAUCUGUCGGAUCUUCCUCAACAUUAUACUUUUGCAGCAUCUGGUUCGUUCUUCAUCGUUCUCCAGGUUCUUCAACUCAUAAUUCCUAAGUUCUUUAAUUACUUUUAUUUACAUUCAAGUUAUUUAUUGGAUUCCCGCUUGCAUCAAGUGCUCUAAUCUUUGAAACAUUAGAGUAGUAAUUAAUAGAUUAGACGUGGUGUUUAGUCUUGCAAUUACCUGGAAUUGCACUCAAUCCUGCGGAUUGUUGUGGUAGCCCUAGGGUAGUGACAGCCUUAACGGUCGACGUAUUCCACCUCGUUCGGAUCGGUGUUUGUAGGACCGUAGUCGGAGCUUCCUAGCCCCCUUCUCAUCUCUUUCUGUGGUUAGUGUUCUGAUGUCCCGAAAUAGAUAAUCUUGAAGUAAUUCUUGAUUCUUAGAUCAACUAGAGAACUCUCAGGAAACUUCCUCUCUUCCCACCAAAAAUAAUUAUAUAGUUAUCCUUGGGCGAUCUUGGAUCUUAAUUAGUACACUCACGUUCUCUGUGGAAAAUCGAUACUCAGGAAUACUCCCGGGUGAAGGCUACAUCGGUAUCCGUGCGCUUGCGGAUUUUUCUGUUUGCGUUUAAAAUACCCAACAAGCUUUCUGGCGCCGUUGCCGGGGAACGGUAGCUGUGCUAGUUUCGAACCAAGUCAUCCGUGUAUCCUUUUUCUUUUUUUACCACACUCACCUUACCAUUUUCACCACACCACAUGGAUUUCACUCUAAGCAUUAAUGAGCAUGGAAUUUAUUUCAUAGCCACUUCAUUUACUCCAUGCUCAUAUGCAACAUCUUCACAAUCCAUUGGUCUCUCCAACAUCACCACAUUCGAGAUCUCCAACCCCCACUUCCUUUUUAUUUAUAAAAACAUUAAAAGGGCAGUUGUCGAUGCAUAUGUCUAUAUCAAAUAUUCCAGAUCUCGUUGAGUUGAUCUUGAUAUAGGUCAGCGUUGGAGGGGAACCACUUCGCCGACAUAAAUUGAUGGUUUCCCAAGGACAAGCUUAGUGUCCUAAAACAAGCACUGAUUAGAUCGUAACAUGAGCUUUUAAUUAUUUGCAACAUUACCUUGUGUAUUGAGCAUAUAAGGAUAAUUGUAAAAAAAAUUCCUUCGGGUAUUCUUGUCACUAACCUUUCUAGGAUUGGAGCAAGAAGAUCGGAUGAAUGACAAGCACAAGGUAUGUAGAACCAAUCAUCAUACAACAUUGAAUUAAAUUCAUCCAAACUUGAAUUUUGCAAAAUUCAAGCUUGGGGGAGUACUUUAUAUAAAAACAUCAUUUGCCAUGUUGCUAUGUUGGUUGUCCCUACCUUUGAGACAUGCUCAAUUUGUUAAAUAGUAAUCACACUACUUCAUCUCCACUUGAGUAGAUCUCUAUAAAAGCCAUCACGCUACCUUUGUUUAUCCUAGUAAGUGUUAGUUUGGAAGUACUGUACAUACUUCUAUUGGUUUUUAAAUUAAGCAUGGUGCUUAGGUUAAACAGCCUUCCUUAAUCUAAUUAGACAUGGAGUCUAGUUUGGUUAUUGAACUAAAAACUGCUUGUGUAGACAUUGGUAUAUUUUGUUGGACUAACCCCUGUAGGAAAACUUUCAAUAUCGACCUAGGAAGUCCUGAGAUAAACUCACAUUGGAGACAAAGAGAGAGACACAUGAAGUUUAACAAUUUACACAAGGAAGGCAUAGCUCACAAGAGAUAAUCUAUGGAGGGUGCCACAAACACGAUGCACAACCGCUAAGAAAGGAAAGCUUCCACAAGGUAAUACUGUACCAUCACUCUUCAAGUAAGGUAACAUCUUAAGGUACUUGACUAUCACUUUUAUAAGCUUCUCCUUGGUUCCAGCAUUCACAUGAAUAAAAGAGACAAACAUGUAUGAUUUAUAACUCUAAAUUAACCAACCCAACUGAUUCAAUAUGUUUAGUCCUUCCACCAUUGUGAUCCCACACUCCUAUUCAUAUGAGCUAAAAUGUUGCACACUCAAUCUUUGGAAGAUAUAUAUAAAAGAAACAACAUAAAUAUAGAUAGAUUAUCUUUCCAUUAGGUUGAGCGAUCUGAUCUGACUAAUAUUUUAAAUGCUACACUCAUGAUCUUAUUAUCCAUCAACUUUGUCUUGCUCACUAUGCUAAAGGUUAGAGAAGAACAAAUACACUUUUGGUUCUAUUGGUGUUUUCCACCAACAGGGCCCAUGCACUUGAUCUCUUCCUUGUCUCUAUGAGCAGGUACACUUCGAGCAAAAUAUGAAGGACUUUUACAACUCCCAGACUCCACCAGUGAAGAACCUAGAUCUAUGAGCACAAACACACUGGAGAUACUAGACACUCAGGCAAUCACUGCCCUUGGAUGCUUGAGGACGUAACUACUGGAGUAUCCCCGUUGUGGAAGUAAUUACUGACCUUCUGCCGGUCAAGAGAGACAAUCCAGGACGCCCCGUCAUCCCGAUCUCCAUCGGCAUGGUGGACUUCCCAGAAGCACUCUGCGACUUUGGCUCCAGCGUCAACAUUAUGCCCAGGGUACUCUAUGAAAAAUUCUUUACACGUCCUUUAUUAGAAACAGUCAUGUGUUUGCAGCUAGCAGAUCGUACGCUAAGUUUCCCAAAGGGAAUAUUGAAGAACCUCUGCGUCCGAGUUGGUACCUUGUAAGCCCCAGCAGACUUCGUGGUGAUAGAGACUGGUACAGAUGAGAGGGCACCCAUCAUUCUAGGGAGGCCAUUCCUAAACACUUCAGGAGCUAUCAUCUACGCUAGUGCUGCCAAGAUCAGUUUCUACAUCAAGGGGAGGAAGGAGACGUUUUCCUUCAUGAACAAGACUACACAAAUCUCAGAGCAAUCCCGACAUGAACCAAGGAAGAGGACCAACAGGAGGAACAGGAACAAGCAAAUGUGGACUGAGUCAGCUAAGAUGGUCACUACAGCUCAAGGAGGUCAAGAUCGUCAACUCAAGUCGCCUUUCUUGAUCUAGAAGGAUGACCCUGGUGUUCCAAGCAUCGAGUGCAAAAUCAACGGAUAUUUUUUUCAGAAGACACUCUACGACACCGGAUCUGACGUCAACAUAAUGGCCGCAGUCACUUAUCAGCUCCUGCAUGGAACCAUGCCCCUACAACCGACAUACAUUCAGCUCCAGAUGGCAGAUCAGACAUUCCGUAAGGUUACUGUCAUGGGAGAAGACGAGUACGAUCCACCCAUCAUCCUUGGAAGACCGUUCCUCAGCACCGUUAAAGCAAUCAUCUACAUUGGAACUGGAGAAGUCCACAUGCACUUCCCCUCUGAGAAGGUAUGCUGCUAUUUUACUGACCCUAACUAUAUAGUUGAAUACUCUAAACAGGUCAGGACAAGAAGAAGACGACGCAACCGCAACCAGAGGAGGCAAAUUAUCAAGGACGGAUGGGCGGACUAUGAAGUGGUAAUGACUGAAGACAUACAACUUGAACAGAACUGUCCUGAGGAGACCGUAGCACCGAGUUAGGUAUGUAGAGAGAAGAUAAUUAGACAUGAAGAGGAGGCGCCGCCGCAACCACCGACUACGCCAUCCAGCGAAUCCUAGGACGACUGAGAAAAUGAAGAGUCCCGUUCGGAAGACGUAAAAACACCGAACGCCUUGCCAAGAGGUAAACUUGGUAGUUAUCUUUUUCCUUUCAAUUAUUUAAAAUAGUUUGCUUAGUUAAUAAGGUUCAUAUCAUCUUGAAAAGAAAAUAAAAAUAAAAAUAGUAAGCCCCAUGUGAGUAUGCUCAUGGCCUAAAACCCAUAAGUACAUUCACUUUGGUGGCGUAAAAAUAAAAUAAAUAUAUUCAUGUCCUAUAAAAACGAAAAUAUAAAAAUAGAUUUAUGAUCCUACUAAAGAGAGUAACAUUUAUUGAGGAGGCUCAACAUGAUAAAGGCUAGAUAUUUAUGCUAACACUUAACCAGUUCCACAAAGCUUUGUUGUCUAUUUGAGCUCCACAGAAUUCAGGGAUCAAAGAAGACUAGCAGACGGAGGACAUCAUAAUCGCUGAUAGAGUGCUACCGACAUUCAAAUACACCUCCACCAGCUGCUAGCUAUAUCAGAAGAAAUUACGUCAAAAUCCAGCUGGGGGGAGAGCACCCCCAUUUAUCCAGCUAAGUAUUCUACUCACGUUUAUACUUUACUCUAAUAAUAAAAUGAUGCAUAAUCAUAGAAACCCAAAUAAAGAUUUUGUGCUUAUAUAUAUCUUUGCUUAGUUUGCUAAAUAAAUAAAUAAAUAAAGUUUGCUAUGAAUCCUCAUGAUAAGCUCUCACAUGGAAAUGAUGAAUAGUUGCUCUGCCAUGACUAGUUCUAAAAAUUGAAAUCUCUCUCAAGUUUAGGCAUGACUGGUAUUAAUUAAGAUUUGCUCUAAACCUGAAAUUGUGGGAAGAGUACUUGAUCUAAAGUCUAAGUCGUUAACGGAUACGAUAUGGGAAGGUUGAGCUACUGUUUAUCUGUUUCUAGAGAUGCUAGAAUUCUGGAGAAUUUUAUCUUUGAAAAAAAUCUUUAAAAUAUUGCAUGAUGAGUUCCUGUAUGAUGAGAGUUUAAAUUCCUACCACAGCCAUAUAUACAUGCUUGCUAGACUUUGAGCCACACAUUUACUUUUUACUGCUUAUGAGCAUUGAGUGUGGUCAAGCUGUGUAGACCCUUAGGAGCUUGUCAUGUGGUUAAAUCAAGAUUCACUUGCACAUUCACUCAUACAUGCUGCUUCUACUGUGGAAGUACGCAUCCACAUAUAUCCACCCAUUUCCAUCUCCAGAACCACCCAAAAAUAUUCUACUCCUAAUCCGGGAGAGAAUAACCAAAAAUAUUUCCGUUUUUCCCUGUGAAAUAAAUGCUCAAGUUAUCUUGUUACUACCACUUGCUAUAUUGUCUCAUGAGAUGAGUGCUCUAACAAAAAAAAAGAGAAAAAAACGAGGAAAUAAAAAGGGGCAAGUGUCCGGAACCUCGAAAAAAAAGAGAGAGUGAGACGAGAGGUAAAAAUGGACAAGUGUCCGACAGUAGAAUUAGGGGUACAAGAUACCCACCCAAGAGAAAAGAAAAAGAAAAUAUAGAGCAUCUCAUUCUCCUCAAAAAGUUUCAAAAGAGCAAGAAAGGUAUGUAUCCCCUCAAAAGAGUAUAAGUAGAAUUAGACUUUCACCAUUGUUAUCACCAUCAUUACCAUACACCAUUCAUUCGCCACACAUGCACAUCUUGAUUUGACUUAUUGACUUGUUCUUCUGGAUCCAUGGUUUGACUAUGCAAUAAAUGUCUUGUAAGUAUGUAUUAGCUGUCUCCCACCUAUGAGCUCCAGAUAUCAAAAGCCUUAUUAGAGUAGGGUGAGAGAGAAGGCAAUGCCACUAUGCCAUAUACCACAAAUACUACAUACUUUGAGAGAAGGCAUAUACCAUUACUACCUUGGUAAGGAUCUAGAAAUACCACAAAAGAGAGACUAGAGAGUCAUACAAGGAAUCUCUGAGUUUUAUUUGAAAAUCUGCAAAAACUCCAGGGCUAUAGUUUAUCGAAGAAUAAGAGACAUGGCGCUUGACUAGACCGUUCUAUCUUUUAACUGCUCAAGACACAAGUGACGGUUGCAAGCCCCAUGGUGGAAGGUAAAAUGAGUAAGUUUAAAUCUUAACAGUUUACCCUAACCUAGAGAUGAGAUCUUGUUUGAACGCAUGUGUAUCUUUAAGGCAUGAAACCACU
rnacentral:lncRNA from 1 species